rnacentral:lncRNA from 1 species
AAGACUGUGAAGUCUGAUCAAGGCUGUUUGAUUGUUUUGUUAAUAACUGUCAAAGUGAAUUACAAAGGGAUCUGUUUGAAAUAAUGUCUCAGAGUGCAUAUCCUUCCAAGCGAUUAUUAGGGAACUGCAGUAAGAGACCUCGAGAAAAUGAAAGUUAAUCUUCAGCAGAAAAAACCAAAAGGCUACAAAGGAAUUGAAGUGAUAAAUAUGAAUUGCCCAUGGCUUUUUGCCAGGCGACAAAAGCUGGUAAGUCCCCUUUAGAUAUUCUGACAACCCUUUUGUGGUCAUUCUCAUAAACAGAACCGUCGCACAAAUGAUUACAAUGUAAGGAAACAUCAUUUUUGAUGUAAACAGAUCGGUUGAAGUGUCCCAUUUAACACCCUGUUUUUUGUUCAGCUGGGCGUUAAUGACGUGGUAGAUCACUGUUUGAUUCUUUUUCUUACAUAAUGCUUUUGGUGUUCAAAAAGCUAGUGACGUUAAUUACCCGCACCGCCCGAUUAACCGCAAAAUAACUUAGGAUGUUUCAGACACAAUGAAAGAUAUGUCUUGUACAACUUUGAUGGUGCAAAAAGCAAGCAUGUUGCUGUUAAUUUUAGAUAGAAUACUACUGAUACAUACUGCUCCCAUGACAAUCAAUGCCCAAGCACAUAGCAGGAACGCGUUGCACUCUUGUUCACUUUCCACCUGUCAAAAUAUCAAAGUAGUUACACUCCUGUGACUGGAAGAGCGCAUGGUACGUGUAUUGAGGGUGGAAGGCAUUCGCAAUUACACACAGCAUGCUAUUGAUCAAGUCAUUACCUCAUUGAAGCAAAGAGGGAUGAUAAACUCUGCAGUUCUGUUCACUUUUGAAUUUAUAUCAUAAGAUAAAAUUAAAAUCGAAUGUAUAAAAAAUACUACUAAGAUUAAAUUAAAAAACUAAUUUUUUUAUUUUUGGUAAGAAUUAAAAAACUAAUUUUUAUUUUUUAAAAUUUUGAAUUUCUUAUAUUAUAGUUCAAAUAUUAUUUAUAUUGAAGUAUAAUUUUAAUUUUAUUAAUUUAAUAAGUUUAUUAUUCGAGAAAAAUAACUUUCCUAUUAUAUAUAUUAAAAAUCAUAUCCAUAUUUAUCCUACCUCUCUAUGAGAUAAUUUUAUUCGGCCUAUAACCUUCUUAUAUCUAAUUUUAUCAUGUGUUGAGUAGACACAAGAAUUUUAUCUUGAUCGUUAAACGCAGUCUUAGAAUGUAUAGGAAUUGCUCUUGGUAAUCUCAUUCCGGUAGAUGUCUACUCUGCUGAUGGUAAAACUUGUAACUGAAAGUGAUAUAUAGAAAAUUAGAUGCAUACUUGCUGUACCAAAAAUUGUUUAGCAUCAAUUUGUCACUCUCUAUAGCAUGCUUCAUAAAUCGUCACAUUCUUUAUAUUUCUUUUAACCCUCUUGUCGGAAGCAAUUGAUGGAACAAAAGCAAUCCAAUUUUUAGGGAGUCAGAAAGAACAGUGUAUUCUUACUUGCUCGAAUCCGUUUGGCGCUUCUUGUUAAGUAUUUGACAUCUGCUUCCCUUUUCUCCUCUUUCCGGACUUCCGCUUCCUUCUUCUCCUUUCCACGGUCUUCUGCUUCCUCCUCGUCCUCCCCUUCAGCGACUUCCGCUUCCUUCUCCUCUGAUUCAUAGGCUCUGACGUUGUGUACCUGCCGAAAGGCAAGCACUAAUUUGUAGUAAAGCCAGCAUAAAAGCUGAGGUGCUAAUCUAAGUACUUCAAGAUGGAUGUUUAAAAUGCCCGGCAAACGACGAGCUGAGCGGUCACUAUCUACGAUUCAUCCGUGCAUGCCCGGGGGUUCAGAAGACUUACCUUAAAUGUCAAAGGCUGGAUCAGUUGAAACACCGGAGCAUCUCCGUCGACAAGAUCAUGAGCAAUGGAGAAACCUCUCCACCCGCCACUAAGGCCAUUCUUGUCAAUGAGAUACUUCGUCUAGAACUCUUCUUCAUCCUCGUCCACGAGGGUCACGGUGUGAUCCCGGUGAGGGAGAUGCUUGUGGCAGAAGUUAUAUGGAAGGCUCUUGAAAACAGGGGAGACAAAUCAUCCAUUAGAAGCUCUGAUAAAUAGCUCUACCAGCUUCUUGUAGAGACUAUUAGCCAGUUUUUAUGCAAAGUCAGCUGCACGGAGGCCUACCCGAAAUUUCGAAGGCUGUGCCCUUUUUCUAAUUACAAGUCAUUAUCGCAUUUUACUACACAUCGAAGGUAAGGGAGGUCCCUCGCUACUACAAACGUAAGGCAGCUUUAUCAAGACUGCAUCCACUACAAAAAAACAGCCGAGGAACAGAAAUGGAUCAAUUACAGCACAUCUCCUGCUGCUUCAAAGCGGUAAGAGUUAGUGCUUAUUGAACUCUUCCAUUACUAUAUUCAUAACCAACAAUCAUUCAAAAUCUUCUUUCCUUCAGACAAACCACAGAUAACUAUUUCAGGAAAAAGCUGCCAAAAAUCCUAAAUUAUGUCCACUUUAACGCAUUCACCCCAAACUAACACAAAAAGCCCAAAACUUGUUCUCAUGUGAUAUAUUUAUUCUAAACUUAUAUCAAUAUGAUGUAUUUACCCAAAAAAAGAAAAAAAAAAGUUCUUGUGACACCAAAAACCAGUUUAGAGUUUAUGGUGUCACCAAAAUAAUUGGAGGUAAAUAUGUUACACAGAUACAAAUUUAGAAUUACUUGUUAUGCAUGCUAAUACAACGAAAUUGCACGUUGUGAUGAGAUUUGUAUGUUGUUAGAUAAUGCACAUUACUAUUGAAAUAGAAUUUGGGAUUUGGGAUUGUCCCUGAUGUUUUGCUCUUUCAAUUUUAUACACGGAUUAUUUUGAAAUCGUUGAGGUUCGACAAUUGGCUAGAGUAAGAAGGGAGGGGAGAGAAAAGAAAAGGAGAGACAAGAAAAUAGGGAAAAAGAAAAGAAUAAAAACAAACAAAUAAAUAGAAGAAUAUUAUUUAAUAUUGUCCAAAUCAGCAUCGGUUGCACCACAUAGAAUGAUUGUCAUUGAAUUGGGAUAAAUGCAAAAAGUUUUGGACUCAAUUGGUAGAAAAAAAAAAGUUUAAGACUGAAUCGGUAUAGUUACAAUAUGUUUAUGACUUUUUUGAUAAUUUUCCUCUAUUUACAUGUUGGUCAAAUGCGUUCUCGCUGUCCUGAUAUAUAUUAGGUGUUUUUGUUUGUUUGCAUGUUGGGAUUGGAUUCCUCAUUGAACUUAAAAUAUACAGGAGGUGUAUAUCUUGUGCAUGCUGUCUAGACUAGAUCCGUCUUGCUUUGCUUGAAAGGUAAAAUGGAAUGUCCGAUUGAUAUGGAUUUGAUUCAUCCAUUAGACUUUGCCUUGACUGCAUUGCAUUCGGAAAUGACAACAAUCACACACGGCAUGACAGAGUGGAGCCGUCACUUGCUCGGUCCAUGAUGCAGCUAUUUCACCUGAGGGCAGGCGACAUAAUUUUUUUUUUUUUUUACCGUCAGAUUCUGCAAAUAAAUGAGAGGGUUACAAAGAAAUAAAUCACAUCAAACCCUACAAAAUCGUUGCAAAUUGAUUGUGGUCCUAAUUUCCAUCAAGCCACCUCAAAAAAAAAAAAAAACUUGGAAUAUUCCAAAUCCAUCGAAUCCCCAACACCUGACCCCGCACUCCCUCGGCAUUCUCCUCGUUAAUUGGGCCGUCCAGACCAGAUUUUCUUUCAUUGAUUCGGCUGGUUUGUUUAUUUUCAGGUGCGAACGGGAGCAUGCCAUGCUCCGUGCGGGGGAUAUAUAAAGCCGUGGGCCAUGACGUGUCGGCAAUGGCGAACCGCCGGAGACAAUUUUAAAGUCAAAGCCUCGCCGCCGGCCCUCGCCUCCGGCCGGAGCGCGAACGAACGAACGAGUGACGACGAGAAGGAAAAGAUCCGCCGUCUCGCUCUUUCUUUCUCAUCCUUUUUGGGCCAAACAACGGCCCCCGGCGGACCCCACCGUAACCAAUAAAAUAUUCAGUGAUGCCAAAGCGCCACGUCAAUUGCUGACGUGCCGCGCUUUUUAUUUAUAUCCAAUAAUAGUGACACGUGUUGGAUGAGGUGGAAUAAAAAAUGAAAAUCUUUUUUUUUUUCAACUUCCUACACCACCCACUCUUCUCCUCUCCUCUGCAAAUCGUUUCUCGGCCAUGGAUGGACGACACGGCCUCCUCCUCCUUCCGGCCACCGCCUGCCCAGCCACUUGAGAAUCCGGUGCGGCCGUCUCCACCGCACAAGCCAGAGGGGACUUGGAACAGUUCAUGGAGUCUCUCUCUCUCUCUGGUGUCUCCUUCCGUUGUCCUCCCUUCAAGUUCCCUUCCGUGAAGCCCAGCCAUGACAGAUCUGGAGCCAUGGCCGUGUUCUCGACAGACCUUGGAGCCAGAUCUGUCGCGGUUAUGGAUUCACAGACGAGGCCGGCCCUCGCCAGAUCUGGGCGAGGGAUGGCCUCGUCAAGACUUGUUCCAUCAUUUUUGAAGGCUCAGCCAUGAUGGCUCGACCGAGAUCUGGAGAAGGCUUAGCGCUCAGCUUUUCCGAAGCUCGGUGAUGACUGGAGGAGGGAGUCGCCGAGAUCUAAAGGUUGGCCAGGUCUGUUGCGGCCAUGGCUUCGCGGUUCCAGAUCUGGAUGCGGCCAAGUGACACCGGAAGGGGCGGAGAUGGUGGCCGCACGGGUGUCCUCUGUCAGGGAGGAAGAUGAAGAGAGAGAAAAAAGAUUUUUUUUUCCCACCUUAUCCAACACGUUUCGAUCUAUUAUUGGAUAUAAAUAAAAAGCGCGUCACGUCAGCAAUUGACGUGGCGCUUUUUGGAACCAGUGAAUAUUUUCUGAUCCGACGACAAAUCGUCAGCGACGGUUACGUUUCUCAUUUCACUAUGACUUCCUUCUUCUUCUUCUUCGAAACAUCGUCGGACGCCGGCAGUACCGCGCGCGCCACCACCCAUGGAGCUCAAGCCCGGCCUUUCCGCUCUCGUCACCGGCGGAGCUUCCGGCAUCGGUAAAAACCUCUCCUCUCCCUCGCUCGUCUCGCCUUCGCCGCCGCCGCCGCCGCCGCCGCCGCCGCCGGCGAUUCACGGCGAUCGGUCUCGUCCGACUAUCGACUCCGAGCUUUCGUCUUCCUUCCGUGUCCGUUGGAUUCUGAUGUUGCCGCCGAUGUCGUCGUCAUGAUCGACGUGCUUUGACCUCGUCGCGAGCUUACGUGUUGAGUAGUGAUGACUGGAUUUUGGCUUUGGAUGGUGUUCUGCAGGUAAGGCUCUGGCGAUAGCGCUCGCGGAGAAGGGGAUAUUCGUGACGGUGGUCGACUUCUCGGAAGACAGGGGAAAGGAGGUGGCCUCCCUCGUCGAGAAAGCGAAUUCCAAGUUCCACUCCAGCUUGGGAUUUCCCUCCUCCAUCUUCGUGAAAUGCGACGUCUCCAACUCGAGUGAGUUUGCCUUGUUGUCUCGAGCUUUUUGGGAUUCUCGGGUUUACGGAGAUCGUGGUGAUGGAUGUUGUCUUGUUUGGUGAGCAGGGGAUGUCGUCAACGCCUUCGAGAAGCAUGUCGCGACCUACGGGGGACUGGACAUCUGUAUCAAUUGCGCCGGCAUCGCUACCCCGGUGCCCUUCCACAAGGAUCAGACCGACGGGACCCGAUUCUGGCGGCACGCGCUGAACGUGAAUUUGGUCGCCGUCAUCGACUGCACUCGCCUCGCAGUAAGUCCGCAAUUUUUCCAAGCACUUCGCUUGGUGAUGCUGCAGUGACCAAGUCGAGCUUUUUGAUUAUUUGCAUGAGAUUAUCAUCUUGUUUUCUCUCUUUCUUUUGUCUUUCGGUCGGAGGGAGCAAUGACACUUCCGAUUGCUAGUGGAUAUUGCUUUACUGUGAGGAAAGUAGCACAAAAUGAUCUGCACUCCUUAACAGGUUAAGGCCAUGGAAUCUGCUGGGAGACCCGGUGUAAUAAUAAACGUGGGAUCUGCUGCAGGUCUUUAUCCUACGUACGCUGAUCCUAUCUAUUCUGCCUCAAAAGGUUAGUUCUCAGUUAAUGCCUCCUUUCAUUUUUCAAUUUCAAUUCUGUUUCCCCAGAUAUAUAUAUAGAGAGAGACGGAAUUCCUGCACCAGUGUCCCUCUGGUGAUACCACCUUUUAAUUAUUAAGAGACUUGAUAACAUUGCAGGUGGCGUCGUCUUGUUUACCAGAUCCCUUGCACCCUUCAAGCGCCGAGGAAUUCGCGUCAAUGUACUUUGCCCCGAGGUGCUGUAUUAAACUGGAAGGUUUUGUGAUGCGAUGUACUAGUGUAAUCAAAACUCAGGAAGAUUGUUUAUUUCGAUUGCUCAUCUCGUGCUGUUUGAAAGUCAUCAGCAAUUGACGUAGGCACUUAUAAUGACAUGAUUAUUCAUCUUCCUUUUUGUUUUUUCCCCUGAAGUACUUAAUAUUGAGGAUUCAUUUUUCUGCUCACAAUUCCAGAUUUGUUAAGGGGGGAACUAUUGCCUUCAUGAAUUUGAAUCUUGCUCGAAUUUAUCAGAAUUUUCUCCUUUAUUAAUUUUAAUUUCAAGCAGGGGUAUUAUCAUGACCAGAAACUUCUAUGGACCUUAUGGUAUAUGACUCUUCUUCCGAUGUUCAAUAGUGUCAUUAUCUAGAGCUGAUCUCUCCAAAUACUCGUUCUAGAUCGGGGAAGACCAAUAAUUUGCAAGUUGAUUUUCACUGCAGAAGAAACUCUGUUGUCCUGUUAUGUUUUUGUAUGUUGAAUAACCUUAUGAAAUAAAUUCAUCAUGGUGAUUGGGAAACAUUAUUCUACCACGAAUACCUAACAUAGUUUCUGUGUCUGAGUGUUGGAUAUGUCUGAUUCCUUACACCCUGUUUUUGGAGCAGAAAGCUGAAAAAAUAUGUAACUGUGUUUCUUUUUAACUAGUCGUAGCACUGUUGGAGUGCCUGAAAAGAAUUGUAAGCUGGAGCUGAUUUAUGGAGGGAAUUUCAAGAUAACAUUGCUAGUAUAUGGAAUUGUGCUUGGUCUUUUGAGGGAAUAAACUGUGUUAGCAGUUGUACUUGAUCCCUUUAGGGUGUAAAAUAAUAUACUAAUCUCAGCUAGUCUUUCUUUCUUUACCGAUUCUUGCUUUUCAUUUCCUUCAGGCUGGUCAUUUGGUCUACUGGGAGAUGCUUUGGUGACCGUUUGGUGCAUUAUCUUUAGUAAAUUUCAUUACUCCUAAUGCUGUAGAUCAAUGGGAAGCUUAAUCAUUACUGAAAAAUGUUGAGAAUUGCAUGUGCAUCAAGCUAUCUUCUCCUGUGACCUGGCCCUUUGUUUGAUCGUUGGUUUAGCUUAUUGUAGUCCAGUUUUAUCUGACCUGAUUUCCUUUGCUCCAGAAAAUGUAUUGUGGUGCGUAUGAUGCUUAAUAGAUUCUCUACUUAUGCAGUUUGUUCGAACAGAGAUGACCUUAAAGAUGGAUUCUGACUUCGUAGACUUGAUGGGGGGCUUUUUACCUAUGGAAAUGGUGGUGAAAGGUACAUUGAUAUACAGUCUUCUCCACGUGCUUUACAUCUUAUCGGACUUAUAAAUCAAAAUGAAUGAAAAUGACAUAGCUUUUGUAUGAUCGACACAAAUUCACUCUCUUACUGCAAUCAAAUUUUAUGAGCAUGAGUCGUUUGCUCUGGACUUUGGAGCAUUUAAAAUUUUCUGUAUUAGGAUUUAGAUAUACUAUAGAGAUGCAUACUGGUACAACUACAAAAUUUGUAGAAAAAUUUAAAGAACUGCCAUACAUGAUUAGUGAGGGACUCAUUGGAUCCUGCUCCAAAAAUGUGCUAUCAUAUGUAGAAGGGAUCGCUUCUGAUGGCUAGUCCACUUACACUUUCCAGGAGCUUUUGAACUUAUUACUGAUGAAAGCAAAGGUGGUUCAUGUCUAUGGAUCACAAAGCGCAAUGGCAUGCAAUAUUGGCCCAGUGCAGCAGAAGAGGCAAAAUACCGAGUGAAAUCCUCAAGUUCCACAAGAAGAUUAUUGUACAAAGGACCAGUGAAUUUGCAACUUCCUAAGAAUUUUGAGAAAAUGUGAGUGAAGAUAAUUUGGGGCUACUGUAUGUGUGUACAUAAUUGAACUGUUCAACCAGAGUAGUGUUUAGCUUCUUAUAGCGUAAACCUGGACUGCUUAGGUAUUCCGUAGGUACUCCAUCAGCUACAAUACAUCAUUGCUCUUGUAUAAGUGGAAUGACAAAUUGCCAUGAUGAGUUUAGGCUUGAUGGUCUUCCAUCUCUAUGAGGCUUCUAGACAAACUUCUUUCACAGUUUGACCAUGUUAUGUCAUUUUAUAUCGUAACAGCUUUUCAUUUCCUGGUUCGAUUACCAGGGUAAUGGGUACAGCUUGAACCAUAUCUUUGCUAAGAAUGAUUUCAUUCCCAUCCUCUAUUUAUCUUGUUUUACUUUAAACAUGCACAAAAGAGGAAGUCAGCUUUUGCAGAGUAGAUCUGUGUAUUAAUUUUCAAUGUGGACGUGAACAGUGGACUAAAGUAAUUGUAAGCAAUGACUUACUGCACUUUAAUGGGCUUGACAUUUAUAUCACUGCAAUAGCCGUAUCAAUGCAAUUAUUAAUUGGUCAAAAAAUGAGUAUGCUUUAGAAUCAUCCAUUGAUGGUUUUCCGCUUCUAUAUGUUUGGAUUAAUAGGUGUCAGAGCACCCUCCUUAAGCUGUUAUACUGGUUAUGUUGAUCCUUGAGUUCCAAUUUUCUUUAGUGGAUUUUAGAUUUUUAGUUAAUAACAUGUUUUAUUAUCUGGUAUUCUUAUUGAAUCCUGAAGGGAAUUUUUUCUUAAGCUUCUCUUCCUGAGGAACAAAGUACUUACAACUUAGAAAUUUUGUUUGGGAAUAUAAGCAUUUUAUCAAUUGGAAGAUCUAUUGAUGUAUUUUAAAUUUUUGUAUUCAGCGUGGUUCACACCUUGACUCACAAUUUCCGUGAUGCUACCCGGAUUAUUCGAACGCCUUUGAGGUUGCUGAUUGAACCACAGCAUGUCCUUGUGAAAAUCGUAUAUGCUGGAGUAAAUGCAAGUGAUGUAAGUUCAAGGCUUCUUUUAAGAAUAUUAGCUUUUUCUCAUCCUUUAUGAUUGGUAUUCUUUCAAUUUCAGGUAAAUCUUUCUCAUCCUCUUCACAUAUGCAUAGCUCUGUGUCAGCUGAUCCAUUUGUAAAACUAUGCUUAAAACUUCACCUCGAAAUUUAGCUUUUCUAUUUGUUACUGUAGCAAACAUCAAAAAGCAAAUUGGAUCUUUGGAAUGUGGCUUAUAUACAAUUGAUAGGACUAUCCCUUAAUACAAGCCAACUAAGUUAUCCUUUAACCAGCCUAUGAGUCGAUAGAUGACUGAUAACUCGGCACCAAAGUUAGUGUUCCAAUUUCUUGAGAUGCUUGCUGGUAUAACUGGUUUUUUCUUUUACUAAGAAUCUUUUUUCCCCUUCAACUUCAGAAGUUUGUUAUGUAUUUGAAGGUUUUCACUCAGGAUUCAGCUUGCAUGUCAAAAUCUAUACAGAAUCCAUGUGUAUUUCUGAUGCUAGCGCGUUUCUUGUGCAGUAUUUAAUAGAGAGAAUUUAUUAAAACUCCAGAGAUAAUCAUUUGACAGGCCCCAGACUGCUAGAUCUGUGUGACUGUUAGAUAUUAGGAGCGAUUGUGAAUACUUGAUAUAGAGUCAGCAUUCUAGCUUUUUUAAUAAAAAACAAUCAUGCUUUAAACAGGUGAAUUUCAGCUCGGGACGUUAUUUCCAAGGUGGAAAGGGAGAUGUUGGGUCCCAUCUUCCUUUUGAUGCUGGCUUUGAGGUCUGGGAAAAAUCUAUUUCUGUUGUCGCAUUUUGCAAUAUCCAAUAAUGCUGAUUUUCUUGGCAUAGUUUUGUGGUUCCUCUAGCAGCACCAUAUAUUUGUUAUACUCAUAAUGGUAUCUUCAUUAUGGACAUGGCAGGCUGUGGGGAUAAUCGCUGCAGUUGGUGAUUCUGUCAAGGAUUUGAAAGUUGGCAUGCCUGCUGCACUGAUGACUUUUGGAAGCUAUGCAGAAUUUACAAUGGUAAAAUUAUANNNNNNNNNNNNNNNNNNNNNNNNNNNNNNNNNNNNNNNNNNNNNNNNNNNNNNNNNNNNNNNNNNNNNNNNNNNNNNNNNNNNNNNNNNNNNNNNNNNNUUUUUACAUAAUUCAAUGAUGAUGUCCAACAAUUAGUCUAUUGAUAAGGUAACUUGCUAAAGUGAAAGGUGCUGAAGAAGACGCCAUGAAUUAGGGAGUCGUUAAGUAAGGAUAGUUGAAAAUAAAAUUUUGAAGAACACCCUGCAGUCACGUCUAACUCUUAGAGGUCCACUUAACUGGCUUUCUAUCUACAUGCUUGCCAAGCUUGCUUGUAUACUUGAAUGUUACUCCUAAUCUUUUCUUUAAUAGGUGUAUGAUCUUGUCAUGAUCAGGUAAUGUGAUGUGUCUAAUCAUAAUACGGUAUCUAUAGGGGUUUGCUUAUUUACCCUUCUGUCCCGAGUAGUCAAGAACAAUAAAAAUUAUACCCUCCUGCAAAUUUAGGCGAUUGUUAUCCAGACUUCUGGCUAUCUAGUUGUCUAAUUUUCCAUUGUUGAUUUUUCCAGUUGUAGACUUAGAAGAAUUAAGAAGUUACCUUAAGUUGCUUUUGCAUAUUUGCAUGUAGCCUUGUGUCCUUGCAUUCAUGAUUCCAGCCUUGUGUCCUUGCAUUCAUGAUUCCACGUGUUUGCUAAAAGGGAAGAAUUACACUGCAGCUUGCUGAUAUUAUUGUUUCUGAUAUGUUAGCUUUCUUCUGGAAGAGAAGAAUCUCUUCUUUCUUAGACACAACAUUGCAUGUGCUUAACUAUGUUCCUCAACUGCUCACAUAAUUAUACACUACUAAGAGUCACUUUGUCUAUCGUGACCAUUUCAGCUUGCAAAAGUUGCUGGAAAUACAGUAGUAGCAACCUGUGGAGGGAGGGAGAAGGCCAUGCUUUUGAAAGAUUUGGGAGUUGAUCGUGUGAUAGAUUAUAAAGCUGAAGACAUCAAAACUGUAUGUCUCCUAAAAAUCUGUCUCAUCUGUUCAACUCUCCUUUUUGCACACAAUAUAGGGGUUGAGAAAUCAAGGACCCUGAUUCAUUCAAGUAGUGUAGCAAAUUAUUUCUAGAUAAGUUCACUGUCACACACGUCUCAGUAGAUACUAAUAUUGAUUAGGUAAAAGUAAAUGAGCAUAUUCAUCCACAUAUGCACAGAUACUAUCAUAUCUACUCGUGCAAAAUUAACGUGUACAUGAAACCCUGGAAAUUCUCUUUACCUUCAAUAUUCAUUUUAUUUUUGAAAUGCAGUGCUACUCCAUGAUCCUCCAUGCGAAUCCUUUUUGAUAUGGAUCUACUUGGCUGGAUUUGUAAUCGAUUCCUAUCACCUAUUCAAUGUCUGAAGAAUAAAUUUAGCCUUUUGUCAAAAAGUCGUCUUUGGCCCUCCAUUGGGCUCUGGCGUCUGAAUGCCACUGACAUUCUCUGCAUUUUCAUGUUACAAUUUUCCUAUCCUUAAAAGAGGUGCAGAAGAUAAAAAGGUGAUGGUGUUAUGGAACCUUGUUUUUUCUCAUAUGGGAAUCUCUGAAGUGAACAACAGUGUGCCUUAGUAACUGGUUUACUCUUUGACAUUUUUUGUAUUUUCAUACCAUGUCUCAUAUAGCUAGCUGCAGCCUUCCCUUGUUCAUGAACUUUAUGCAGUUUAAUUACUAUUUUCUAUAUUGUAACGAUUCUUGUAGGAUUAUGUUUGGAGUCUAGACCGGUUUCUGCAUUUUUCUCUCCUUUUGGGUUUAGUUUUUUUGUGAAAUUUCAUUUAAAAUGAAUUCAUUUAUCAUGAUUUACAAGAUAAUGCAUGAUACUCAAAUAAAAUUUUAUGUAAUGAGCUUUUUCUCUAUCUUUUCCAAAUUUACAGGUUUUGAAGAAGGAAUUUCCAAAAGGUGUUGACAUAGCUUAUGAGUCUGUUGGUGGGGAAAUGUUUGAUCUUUGCUUGAAUGCUUUGGCCAUAUUUGGACGAUUGAUUGUAAUUGGCAUGAUUUCUCAGGUAUUGCAUCCUUAUGUUGUUGACAUCCAUCUGGACCCGAUCUUUUAUCAUGAGUUUCCAGCAGUUCCAAUGUGAAACUUAGUUAUCUCGAUUAGGCUGUGCGGGAGCUUUUACAUUCUUGCUCUCACUUUCAGUGAGAUACCAAUGAAAGGAAAGUUAGGUUUCUGAAGUUUUUGUAUGAGUCUUGUGGUCGUAAUGCAUGGUAGAAGUUCUACUGCAAUCACAUUUCUGUGCUACAGAGGGUCGCAAGACAGACAUGAAGAUGUUUUGCUUUGUAUAAUGGGGAAUAUUGGUUAGAGAUGCUAGGGAAAUAAAGAAGACUGUGCAUGGAGUCUUUGUAGCAAGUGCUACAUGUUUUCUAUCAACAUGCAUGUAUGUUUUUUCUCCAGUGUCUCCUGUAGUUGCGGUCUGUUCCCUUGGUAUGCAUACUGUUCUAACAUUCUUCUUGCUUGAGUAUUAACUAUUGACAGUUGUACAUAAUUUUUAACCGGUACAAAAUUACUACUUUGAUUGUAGUAUCAAGGAGAGCAUGGAUGGACACCAAAUAAGUACCCUGGACUUUGCGAGAAACUUCUGUCUAAAAGCCAAACUGUGGUAUGUUUGAUAACACUACUGCGUAAAGGACAGUGAUUGUACUCUACUGCGAUAAUUUUGCUCUUGGUGAUGCGCCAACUAUAUAUCAGGAAUAAGCAUGGACUGUGAAUUCUAUAGUUGUUUAUGCCUUUCUCCCCUUGAAGUGUAUGAUAUGAUAUUGACAAUGUUGGCAGGCUGGUUUUUUCCUGGUACAAUAUAGUCACUUCUGGCAAGAACACCUAGAUAGACUGUUUCAACUCUAUUCCAGAGGACAACUCAAGGUACUGCUCUUCUUCUUUUUUUAACUUUUCUUUUACUGGUGAGACCUGACUCUUCCAUCAUAGAUCAUGCUGAACUUACAUUUCAUUAAUUGUAGAUAUCUGUGCCUUUUGCACAAUGCAAGGCCCUUACUUUCCUGUUAUCUUAUUCCUUCAGCCUUAUUUUUAUUUUAUUUUUAUUUUUUUGGUCAAUAAUGAUCUCUGUGCCUAAGUCGCUAUCGCUGCCGAAUUUCAAAGUCCACCAAGACUUGAUCUUCUAACUGUAUGCAGGUGGCCAUUGACUCAAAAAGAUUUGUGGGUCUUAAUGCUGUGGCAGAUGCUGUUGAGCAUCUUCAUUCUGGUAAAAGUAUUGGGAAGGUAUGUUCAUUGUCCACGAACUUUAUGGAUAUUUCGGGCACAUCAUUUGCAAAUUUCAUGGCGUUGUUUUUUUUUUCCUGAUGCACAACAAAUUUUGAGAAUAUGAACAAAAUCUUAUUCUAGGUGGUGGUUCGCAUGGAUCCAACUUUCACUGAUCAAGUAGCAAGACUGUGAAGUCUGAUCAAGGCUGUUUCAUUGUUUCGUUAAUAACUGUCAAAGUGCAUUACAAAGGGAUCUGUUUGAAAUAAUGACCCAGAGUGCAUAUCCUUCCAAGCGAUUAUUAGGGAACUGCAGUAAGAGACCUCCUCGAGAAAAUGAAUGUAAUCUUCAGUAGAAAAAACCAAAAGACUACAAAGGAAUUGAAGUGAUAAAUAUGAAUUCCCCAUGGCUUUUUGCCAGGCGACAAAAGCUAGUAAGACCCCGUUAGAUAUUCUGACAACCCUUUUGUGGUCAUUCUCAUAAACAGAACCGUCGCACAAAUGAUUACAAUGUAAGGAAACAUCAUUUUUGAUGUAAACAGAUCGGUUGAAGUGUCCCAUUCAACACCCUGUUUUUUGUUCAGCUGGGCGUUAAUGACGUGGUAGAUCACUGUUUGAUUCUUUUUCCUACAUAAUGCUUUUGGUGUUCAAAAAGCUAGUGAUGUUAAUAACCCCCACCGCCUGAUUAACCGCAAAAUAACUUAGAAUGUUUCAGACACAAUGAAAGAUGCGUCUUGUACAACUUUGAUGGUGCAAAACACAAGCAUGUUGCUGUUAAUUUCAGAUAGAAUACUACUGAUACAUACUGCUCCCAUGACAAUCAAUGCCCGAGCGCAUACCAGGAACGCGUUGCACUCCUGUUCACUUUCUACCUGUUAAAACAUCAAAGUAAUUACAUUCCUGUGACUGGAAGAGCGCAUUGUACGUGUAUUGAGGAUGGGAGGCAUUCGCAAUUACACACAGCAUGUUAUUGAUCAAGUCAUUACCUCAUUGAAGCCAAGAGGGAUGAUAAACUCUGCAGUUUUGUUCACUUUUGGAUGAACAGAAUGUUCCACAACUUUCAUCUAUGGCGAUGUUUUAGCAUAUUAUCUUGUGCAGAUAUAUCUAUGUUAUAUUUAAUUAUAUGUUGACGCUAGAUUUAAGCUUUUCAUGCCUAGUUAAACAAGACCAGUAUACUAACUACGUAAGUUAUAAUCUAUCUAUUGUUUGGUUGAUCGCAAUAAUAAAGUCGGAUAUAUUCACAUAAUACUUUUUUUCUAGUAUAGACAAUACAUCAAUGUAAAUGAAUCUAAAAAGUCACAAACACAAAUAGUAAAAAUAACUUGCAAACUAUUACCCAAUAUAAUUUUCCUUGCUUAUUUUAUUUUAUUUUCCUCUUUUUUUAAUUUUUUUAAUUUUUAUUUCUUUUUACCCCUUCCAUCUUUCUCUAAUAAAAUUUUAUUAAAUAGAAAACUGUACUAAUAUAUCUAAAAUACACAAAUAUCUCAAAUUUGUAAUAAAUAUAAAUAGAUAUACAUAUAUAUUUAUAUUCAUAUAUUGAAUUUAUAUUAUAAGAUAGAAUUAAAGUCAAAUAUAUCAAUAAUACUAAGAUUAAAUUAAAAAACUAAAUUUCAUUUUUUUUAUAUUUUGAAUUUCUUAUAUUAUAGUUCAAAUAUUAUUUAUAUUGAAGUAUAAUUUCAAUUUUAUUAAUUUAACAAGUUUAUUAUUCGAAAAAAGUAACUUUCCUAUUAUAUAUAUUAAAAAUCCUAUCAAUCUUUAUCCCACCUCUUUAUGGAAUAAUUUUAUUUGACCUAUAUCUUUUUUAUCAUGUGUUGAGUAGACACAAAACGCUGGAUAAGAUAAAUUUCAUCUUAUCCUGAAUUUUAUCCUAACCGCUAAAUGUAGUCUUAGGAUAUAUAGGAAUUGCUCUUGGUAAUCUCACUCCAGUAGAUACGUCUGCUUUGCUGAUGGUAAAACUUGUAACUAAAAGUGAUCUAUAGAAAAUUAGACGCACACUUGCUGUACUGAAAAUUGUUUAGCAUCAAUCUGUCACUCUCUAUAGCAUGCUUCAUAAAUCGUCACGUUCUUUAUAUUUCUUUUAACCCUCUUGUCGGAAGCAAUUGAUGGAACAAAAGCAAUCCAAUUUUUAAGGAGUCAGAAAGAACAGUGUAUUCUUACUUGCUCGAAUCCGUUUGGCGCUUCUUGUUAAGUAUUUGACAUCUGCUUCCCUUUUCUCCUCCUUCCGGACUUCCGCUUCCUUCUUCUCCUUUCCACGGUCUUCUGCUUCCUCCUCGUCCUCCCCUUCAGCGACUUCCGCUUCCUUCUCCUCUGAUUCAUAGGCUCUGACGUUGUGUACCUGCCGAAAGGCAAGCACUAAUUUGUAGUAAAGCCAGCAUAAAAGCUGAGGUGCUAAUCUAAGUACUUCAAGAUGGAUGGUCAAAAUGCCCGGCAAACGGCGAGCUGAGUGGUCACUAUCUGCGAUUCAUCCGUGCAUGCCCGGGGGUUCAGAAGACUUACCUUAAACGUCAAAGGCUGGAUCAGUUGAAACACCAGAGCAUCUCCGUCGACAAGAUCAUGAGCAAUGGAGAAACCUCUCCACCCGCCACUAAGGCCAUUCUUGUCAAUGAGAUACUUCGUCUAGAACUCUUCUCCAUCCUCGUCCACGAGAGUCACAGUGUCAUCCCGGUGAGGGAUAUGCUUGUGGCAGAAGUUAUAUGGAAGGCUCUUGAAAACGGGGGAGACAAAUCAUCCAUUAGAAGCUCUGAUAAAUAGCUCUACCAGCUUCUUGUAGAGACUAUUAGCCAGUUUUUAUGCAAAGUCAGCUGCACGGAGGCCUACCCGAAAUUUCGAAGGCUGUGCCCUCUUUCUAAUUACAAGUCAUUAUCGCAUUUUACUACACAUCAAAGGUAAGGGGGGUCUCUCGCUACUACAAACGUAAAGCAGCUCUAUCAAGACUGCAUUCACUACAAAAAAACAGCCGAGGAACAGAAAUGGAUCAAUUACAGCACAUCUCCUGCUGCUUCAAAGCGGUAAGAGCUAGUGUUUAUUGAACUCUUCCAAUACUAUAUUCAUAACCAAGAAUCAUUCAAAAUCUUCUUUCCUUCAGACAAACCACAGGUAACUAUUUCAGGAAAAAGCUGCCAAAAAUCCUAAAUUAUGUCCACUUUAACGCAUUCACCCCAAACUAACACAAAAAGCCCAAAACUUGUUCUCAUGUGAUAUAUUUAUUCUAAACUUAUAUCAAUAUGAUGUAUUUACCCAAAAAAAAGAAAAAAAAAAGUUCUUGUGACACCAAAAACCAGUUUAGAGUUUAUGGUGUCACCAAAAUAAUUGGAGGUAAAUGUGUUACACGGAUACAGAUUUAGAAUUGUUUGUUAUGCAUGCUAAUACAAUGAAAUUGCACGUUGUUAUGAGAUUUGCAUGUUGUUAGAUAAUGCACGUUACUAUUGAAAUAGAUUUUGGGAUUUGGGAUUGUCCCUGAUGUUUUGCUCUUUCAAUUUUAUACACGGAUUAUUUUGAAAUCGCUAAGGUUUGACAAUUGGCUAGAGUAAGAAGGAAGGGGAGAGAAAAGAAAAGGAGAGACAAGAAAAUAGGGAAAAAGAAAAGAAUAAAAAAAACAAAUAAAUAGAGGAAUAUUAUUUAAUAUUGUCCAAAUCAGCAUUGGUUGCACCAUAUAGAAUGAUUGUCAUUGAAUUGGGAUAAAUGCAAAAAAAAUUGGACUCAAUUGAUAGAAAAAAAAAAAGUUUAAGACUGAUCGGUAUAGUUACAAUAUGUUUAUGACUUUUUUGAUAAUUUUCCUCUAUUUACAUGUUGGCCGAAUGCGUUCUCACUGUCUUGAUAUAUAUUAGGUGUUUUUGUUUGUCUGCAUGUUGGGAUUGGAUUCCUCAUUGAACUUAAAAUAUGCAGGAGGUGUAUAUCUUGUGCAUGCUAUCUAAGACUAGAUCCGUCUUGCUUUGCUUGAAAGGUAAAUUAGAAUGUCUGAUUGAUAUGGAUUUGAUUCAUCCAUUAGACUUUGCCUUGACUGCAUUGCAUUCGGAAAUGACAACAAUCACACACAGCAUGACGGAGUGGAGUCGUCGCUUGCUCGGUCCAUGAUGCGGCUAUUUCACUUGAGGGCACGCGACGUAAUUUUUAUUUUAUUUUUUUGACUGUCAGAUUCUGCAAGUAAAUGACAGGGUUACAAAGAAAUAAAUCACAUCAAACCCUACAAAAUCGUUGCAAAUUGAUUGUGGUCCUAAUUUCCAUCAAGCCACCCCAAAAAAAAAAAAAAAAGACUUGGAAUAUUCCAAAACCAUCGAAUCCCCAACACGUGACCCCCCACUCCCUUGGCAUUCUCCUCGUUAAUUGGGCCGUCCUGAUCAGAUUCUCUUUCACUGAUUCGGCUGGUUUGUUUAUUUUCAGGUGCGAACAGGAGCAUGCUAUGCUCCGUGUGGGGGCUAUAUAAAGCCGUGGGCCAUGACGUGUCGGCGAUUGCGAACCGCCGGAGACAAUUUUAAAGUCAAAACCUCGCCGCCGGCCCUCGCCUCCGGCCGGAGCACGAACGAACGAGUGACGACGAAAAGGAAAAGAUCCGCUGUCUCGCUCUUUCUUUCUUUCUCAUCCUUCUCAGGCCAAACAACACCCAAUGGGCCCCACCGUAACCCAUAAAAUAUUUAGUGAUUCCAAAGCGACACGUCAAUUGCUAACGUGGCACGCUUUUUUAUUUAUAUCCAAUAAUAGAGUGACACGUGUUGGAUGAGAUGGAAUAAAAAAUGAAAAUCUUUUCUUUUUCAACUUCCCGCACCACCCACUCUUCUCCUCUCCUCUCCUCUGCAAAUCGUUUCUCAGCCAUGGAUGGAUGACCUAUAUAGCAUGGACACUCUCCGGAAACUUUCGUAUCGUGUCCGACACUCCGACACGUAUCCGACACGCUUCGAUACACGGUCAACAAGUAUCAAAAAAUCCAACACGUGAUCAACUCUCUCCGACAUGCUCCGACACACGAGUCCAGAAUUUCGACACGCGAUUCCGACACGUAUAGGGUCAAUUUUAAAAAUUUCUAAUACUUGAGAAGUUAAAAUAUAAAUAUACACAAAAGAAAUAAUAAAAUUGCUAUAAAUAUACAUGCACGGGUCAAUUUUUAUUUUUUUUAAGUUUUGGCUUUUAUAAUUGUUUUAGUUUUUCUAAAAGUAUUUUAUUAUAAAAGAAGUAAUAAAAAAAUGCUAUAUAUGAUAAAUAAAUAAAUUUAAAAAUAUUAUUUCAACAUUUUUCUUUAAACAAUGUUUUUUCAUGUAUUAUUGUAUUAUUGUGACAAAUUAAAAUAAUGAAUAAUAUUAUUUUUUAUUUUUUAUGUAAAUUAAUUCUAGGUUAUUAUUGUUAUUUAUGUAUUUAUAUAUGAAAAUAUAUUUAAUAUAUAACGUGUCGAAACGUGUCAGAAUUCUCUAUUUUUAAGAAAUCACGUGUCGGUAUGUCGUGUCGUGUCGUGUCGCAUGUCCGUGUUGAUGCUAGUAAAUGACACGGCCUCCUCCUCCUUCCGGCCACCGCCUGCCCAGCCACUUGAGAAUCCGGUGCGGCCGUCUCCACCGAGCAAGCCAGAGGGGACUUGGAACAGUUCAUGGAGUCUCUCUCUCCCUCUGGUGUCUCCCGUUGUCCUCCCUUCAAGUUCCCUUCCGUGAAGCCCAGCCAUGACAGAUCUGGAGCCAUGGCAGGAUCUAGAUCUGGAACCGCGGAGCCAUGGCCGCGUUCUCGACAGACCUUGAAGCCAGAUCCGUCGCGGUUAUGGCUUCACAGACGAGGCCGGCCCUCGCCGGAUCUGGGCGAGGGAUGGCCUCGUCAAGACUUGUUCCAUCAUUUUUGAAGGCUCAGCCAUGAUGGCUCGACCGAGAUCUGGAGAAGGUUUAGCGCUCAGCUUUUCCGAAGCUCAGUGAUGACUGGAGGAGGGAGUCGCCGAGAUCUAAAGGUUGGCCAGGUCUGUUGCGGCCAAGUGACACCGGAAGGGGCGGAGAUGGUGGCCGCACGGGUGUCCUCUGUCAGGGAGGAAGAUGAAGAGAGAGAAAAAAGAUUUUUUUUCCCACCUUAUCCAACACGUUUCGAUCUAUUAUUGGAUAUAAAUAAAAAGCGCGCCACGUCGGCAAUUGACGUGGCGCUUUUUGGAACCACUGAAUAUUUUCUGGUCCGACGACAAAUCGUCAGCGACGGGUACGUUUCUCAUUUCACUAUGACUUCCUUCUUCUCCUUCUUCGAAACAUCGUCGGACGCCGGCAGUACCGCGCGCGCGACCACCCAUGGAGCUCAAGCCCGGCCUUUCCGCUCUCGUCACCGGCGGAGCUUCCGGCAUCGGUAAAAACCUCUCUUCUCCCCCGCUCGUCUCGCCUUCGUCGCCGCCGCCGCCGGCUAUUCACGGCGAUCGGUCUCGUCCGACUAUCGACUCCCGAGCUUUCGUCUUCCUUCCGUGUCCGUUGGAUUCUGAUGUUGCUGCCGCCGUCGUCGUCAUGAUCGACGUGUCUUGACCUCGUCGCGAGCUUACGUGUUGAGUAGUGAUGAUUGGAUUUUGGCUUUGGCUUUGGAUGGUGUUCUUCAGGUAAGGCUCUGGCGAUAGCGCUCGCGGAGAAGGGGAUAUUCGUGACGGUGGUCGACUUCUCGGAAGACAGGGGAAAGGAGGUGGCCUCCCUCGUCGAGAAAGCGAAUUCCAAGUUCCACUCCAGCUUGGGAUUUCCCUCCUCCAUCUUCGUGAAAUGCGACGUCUCCAACUCGAGUGAGUUUGCCUCGUUGUCUCGAGCUUUUCGGGAUUCGCGGGUUUACGGAGAUCGUGGUGAUGGAUGUUGUCUUGUUUGGUGAGCAGGGGAUGUCGUCAACGCCUUCGAGAAGCACGUCGCGACCUACGGCGGACUGGACAUCUGUAUCAAUUGCGCCGGCAUCACUACCCCGGUGCCCUUCCACAAGGAUCAGACCGACGGGACCCGAUCCUGGCGGCACGCGCUGAACGUGAAUUUGGUCGCCGUCAUUGACUGCACUCGCCUCGCAGUAAGUCCGCAAUUUUUCCGAGCACUUCGCUUGGUGAUGCUGCAGUGACCAAGUCGAGCUUUUUGAUUAUUUGCCUGAGAUUAUCAUCUUGUUUUCUCUCUUUCUUUUGUCUUUCGGUUGGAGGGAGCAAUGACACUUCCGAUUGCUAGUGGAUAUUGCUUUACUGUGAGGAAAGUAGCACAAAAUGAUCUGCACUUCUUAACAGGUUAAGGCCAUGGAAUCUGCUGGGAGACCCGGUGUAAUAAUAAACAUGGGAUCUGCUGCAGGUCUUUAUCCUACGUACGCUGAUCCUAUCUAUUCUGCCUCAAAAGGUUAGUUCUCAGUUAAUGCCUCCUUUCAUUUUUCAAUUUCAAUUCUGUUUCCCCAGCUAUAUAUAUAGAGAGAGACGGAAUUCCUGCACAAGUGUCCCUCUGGUGAUACCACCUUUUUAUUAUUAAGAGACUUUAUAACGUUGCAGGUGGCGUCGUCUUGUUUACCAGAUCCCUUGCACCCUUCAAGCGCCGAGGAAUUCGCGUCAAUGUACUUUGCCCUGAGGUGCUGUAUUAAACUAGAAGGUUUUGUGAUGUGAUGUACUAGUGUAAUCAAAACUCAGGAAGAUUGUUUCUUUUGAUUGCUCAUCUCGUGCUGUUUGAAAGUCGUCAGCACUAGACGUAGGCACUUUUAAUGACAUGAUUAUUCAUCUUCCUUUUUGUUUUUUCCCCUGAAGUGCCUAAUAUUGAGGAUUCAUUUUUCUGCUCUCAAUUCCAGAUUUGUUACGGGGGGAACUAUUGCCUUCAUGAAUUUGAAUCUUGCUCGGAUUUAUCAGAAUUUUCUCCUUUAUUAAUUUUAAUUUCAAGCAGGGGUAUUAUCAUGACCAGAAACUUCUAUGGACCUUAUGGUAUAUGACUCUUCUUCUGAUGUUCGAUAGUGUCAUUAUCUAGAGCUGAUCUCUCCAAAUACUCGUUCUAGAUCGGGAAAGACCAAUAAUUUGCAAGUUGAUCUUCACUGCAGAAGAAACUCUGUUGUCCUGUUAUGUUUUUGUAUGUUGAAUAACCUUAUGAAAUAAAUUCAUCAUGGUGAUUGGGAAACAUUAUUCUACCACGAAUACCUAACAUAGUUUCUGUGUCUGAGUGUUGGAUAUGUCUGAUUCCUUACACCCUGUUUUUGGAGCAGAAAGCUGAAAAAAUAUGUAACUGUGUUUCCUUUUAACUAGUCGUAGCACUGUUGGAGUGCCUGAAAAGAAUUGUAAGCUGGAGCUGAUUUAUGGAGGGAACUUCAAGAUAGCAUUGCUAGUAUAUGGAAUUGUGCUUGGUCUUUUGAGGGAAUAAACUAUGUUAGCAGUUGUACUUGAUCGCUUUAGGGUGUAAAAUAAUAUACUAAUCUCAGCUAGUCUUUCUUUCUUUACCAAUUCUUGCUUUUCAUUUCCUUCAGGCUGGUCAUUUGGCCUACUGGGAGAUGCUUUGGUGACUGUUUGGUGCAUUAUCUUCAGUAAAUUUCAUUACUCCUAAUGCUGUAGAUCAAUGGGAAGCUUAAUCAUUACUGAAAAAUGUUGAGAAUUGCAUGUGCAUCAAGCUAUCUUCUCCUGUGACCUGGCCCUUUGUUUGAUCGUUGGUUUAUCUUAUUGUAGUCCAGUUUUAUCUGACCUGAUUUCCUUUGCUCCAGAAAAUGUAUUGUGGUGCAUAUGAUGCUUAAUAGAUUCACUACUUAUGCAGUUUAUUCGAACAGAGAUGACCUCAAAGAUGGAUUCUGACUUCGUAGACUUGAUGGGGGGCUUUUUACCCAUGGAAAUGGUGGUGAAAGGUACAUCCAUAUACAGUCUUCUCCACAUGCUUUACAUCUUAUCGGACUUAUAAAUCAAAAUGAAUGAAAAUAAAAUGGUUUUUGUAUGAUCAACACAAAUUCACUCUCUUACUGCAAUCAAAUUUUCUGAGCAUGAGUCGUUUGCUCUGGACGUUGGAGCAUUUAAAGUUUCUGUAUUAGGAUUUAGAUAUACUAUAGAGAUGCAUACUGGUACAACUACAGAAUUUGUAGAAAAAUUUAAAGAACUGCCAUACAUGAUUAGUGAGGGACUCAUUGGAUCCUGCUCCAAAAAUGUGCUAUCAUAUGUAGAAGGGAUCACUUCUGAUGGCUAGUCCACUUACACUUUCCAGGAGCUUUCGGACUUAUUACUGAUGAAAGCAAAGGUGGUUCAUGUCUAUGGAUUACAAAGCGCAAUGGCAUGCAAUAUUGGCCCAGUGCAGCAGAAGAGGCAAAAUACCGAGUGAAAUCCUCAAGUUCCACGAGAAGAUUAUUGUACAAAGGACCAGUGAAUUUGCAACUUCCUAAGAAUUUUGAGAAAAUGUAAGUGAAGAUAAUUUGGGGCUACUGUAUGUGUACAUAAUUGAACUGUUCAACCAGAGUAGUGUUUAGCUUCUUAUAGCGUAAACCUGGACUGCUUAGGUAUUAUUCCCUAGGUACUCCAUCAGCUACAGUACGUCAUUGCUCUUGUAUGAGUGCAAUGACAAAUUACCAUGAUGAGUUUAGGCUUGAUGGUCUUCCAUCUCUAUGAGGCUUCUAGACAAACUUCUUUCACAGUUUGACCAUGUUACAUCAUUUUAUAUCAUGACGGCUUUUCUUUUCCUGGUUCGAUUACCAGGGUAAUGGGUACAGCUUGAACCAUAUUUUUGCUAAGCAUGAUUUCAUUCCCAUCCUCUAUUUAUCUUGUUUUACUUUAAACAUGCACAAAAGAGGAAGUCAGCUUUUGCAGAGUAGAUCUGUGUAUCAAUAUUCAAUGUGGACGUGAACAGUGGACUAAAGUAAUUGUAAGCAUUGACUUACUAUACUUUAAUGGGCUUCACAUUUAUAUCACUGCAAUAGCCAUAUCAAUGUAAUUAUUAAUUGGUCAAAAAAUGAGUAUGCUUUAGAAUCAUCCAUUGAUGGUUUUCCGCUUCUAUAUGUUUGGAUUAAUAGGUGUGCACCCUCCAUUAGCUGUUAUACUGGUUAUGUUGAUCCUUGAGUUCCAAUUUUCUUUAGUGGAUAUUAGAUUUUUAGUUAAUAACAUGUUUUAUUAUCUGGUAUUCUUAUUGAAUCCUGAAUGGAAUUUUUUUCUUAAAGCUUCUCUUCCUGAGGAACAAAGUACUUACAACUUAGAAAUUUUGUUUGGGAAUAUAAGCAUUUUAUCAAUUGGAAGAUCUAUUGAUGUAUUUUAAAUUUUUGUAUUCAGCGUGGUUCACACCUUGACUCACAAUUUCCGUGAUGCUACCCGGAUUAUUCGAACGCCUUUGAGGUUGCCGAUUGAACCACAGCAUGUCCUUGUGAAAAUCGUAUAUGCUGGAGUAAAUGCGAGUGAUGUAAGUUCAAGGCUUCUUUUAAGAAUAUUAGCUUUUUCUCAUCCUUUAUGAUUGGUUUCCUUUUAAUUUCAGGUAAAUCUUUCUCAUCCUCUUCUCAUAUGCGUAGCUCUGUGUCGGCUGAUCCAUUUGUAAAAUAUUGCUUAAAACUUCAACUCGAACUUUAGCUUUUCUAUUUGUUACUGUAGCAAAGUGGAUCUUUGUAAUGUGGCUUAUAUACAAUUGAUAGGACUAUUCCUUAAUACAAGCCAACUAAGUUAUCCUUUAACCAGCCUAUGAGUCAAUAGAUGACUGAUAACUCGGCACCAAAGUUAGUGUUCCAAUUUCUUGAGAUGCUUGCUGGUAUAACUGGUUUUUUCUUUUACGUGGAAUCUUUUUUUCCCUUCAACUUCAGAAGUUUGUUAUGAAUUUGAAGGUUUUCACUCAGGGUUCAGCUUGCAUGUCAAAAUCUAUACAGAAUCCAUGUGUAUUUCUGAUGCUAGCCCGUUUCUUGUGCAGUAUUUAAAGAGACAAUUUAUUAAAACUCCAGAGAUAAUCAUUUAGUAAUCGCUCAUUAGCUAAUCUUUAUUAUCACUAUUUGACAGGCCCCAGACUGUUAGAUCUGUGUGACUGUUAGAUAUUAGGAGCGAUUGUGAAUACUUGAUAUAGAGUCGGUAUUCUAGCUUUUCUAAUAAAAAAAUCAUGCUUUAAACAGGUGAAUUUCAGCUCGGGACGUUAUUUCCAAGGUGGAAAGGGAGAUGUUGGGUCCCGUCUUCCUUUUGAUGCUGGCUUUGAGGUCUGGGAAAAAUCUAUUUCUGUUGUCGCAUUUUGCAAUAUCCAAUAAUGCUGAUUUUCUUGGCAUAGUUUUGUGGUUCCUCUAGCAGCACCAUAUAUUUGUUAUACUCAUAAUGGUAUCUUCAUGAUUGACAUGGCAGGCUGUGGGGAUAAUUGCUGCAGUUGGUGAUUCUGUCAAGGACUUGAAAGUUGGCAUGCCUGCUGCACUGAUGACUUUUGGAAGCUAUGCAGAAUUUACAAUGGUAAAAUUAUAUUCCAUAGGGAUAUUUUAAUGUCAAUGGCUGGUUUUGACUGUGGUUAAUAUCUUUCAUAGCCUCUCGGUACUGCAAAUUCAUGACAUGGAGAUCCCUGUUUUAUUGUAAUAAAUAUCAUAUCUUUCUCAGGUUCCGGCAAAACACGUCCUUUCGGUGGCCAGGCCAGAUCCAGAAGUGGUUGCCAUGCUUACUUCAGGGCUUACAGCAUCUAUUGCACGAGAAAAGGUCGGGCUUUUAUGCAAUAUAGCAAACUAUGCCUUUUAUUUCCUUUUGCAAUUUUAUUUGCUGGAGCUGUUGCUUUCAGUCAUUUUUCUAGUCUAAGUACAUCGAGAUAAUUACCUUCAGACAUCUGAUCAUGUCUCAUAUGCCAUAUUAAAGUUUGUUUGCUCUUGUUGAAAAUUUAGGCUGGACAAAUGGAAUCUGGCAAAGUAGUUCUUGUUACAGCUGCUGCAGGAGGGACUGGGCAGUUUGCUGUCCAGGUCUGUUUCUCAUUCAGAUUGAUGCUAUUAAAUUAGUAUUAUUAGAUCUAUGACAAUGUGAUUUUGCAACUAUAGUAGGAUUGCAGAGGUCAGUAUUGAGGGAAUGAGAUAUGGCGAUCUCUAUCUGUUGUGUUUUUACAUAAUUUCAAUUGAUCAAUGUCCAACAAUUAGUCUAUUGAUAAGGUAACUUGCUAAAGUGAAAGGUGCUGAAGAAGACGCCAUGAAUUAGGGAGUCGUUAAGUAAGGAUAGUUGGAAAUAAAAAUUUUGAAGAACACCCUGCAGUCACGUCUAACUCUUAGAGGUCCGCUUAACUGGCUUUCUAUCUACAUGCUUGCCAAGCUUGCUUGUCUACUUGAAUGUUACUCCUAAUCUUUUUUUAGUAGGUGUAUGAUCUUGUCAUGAUCUGGUAAUGUGAUGUGUCUAAUCAUAAUACGGUAUCUAUAGGGGUUUGCUUAUUUACCCUUCUGUCCCGAGUAGUCAAGAACAAUAAAAAUUAUACCCUCCUGCAAAUUUAGGCGAUUGUUAUCCAGACUUCUAGCUAUCUAGUUGUCUAAUUUUCCAUUGUUAGAUAUAGAUGUUUCCAGUUGUAGACUUAGAAAAUAAUUAAAAAGUUACCGUAAGUUGCUUUUGCAUAUUUGCAUGUAGCCUUGUGUCCUAGCAUUCAUGAUUCCACUUGUUUGCUAAAAGGGAAGAAUUACACUGCAGCUUGCUGAUAUUAUUAUUUCUGAUAUGUUAGCAUUUUCUUCCGAAAGAGAAGAAUCUCUUCUUUCUUAAACACAACAUUGCAUGUGCUUAACUAUGUUCCUCAACUGCUCACAUAAUUUUACACUACUAAGAGUCACUUUGUCUAUCGUGACUAUUUCAGCUAGCAAAAGUUGCUGGAAAUACAGUAGUAGCAACCUGUGGAGGGAGGGAGAAGGCCAUGCUUUUGAAAGAUUUGGGAGUCGAUCGUGUGAUAGAUUAUAAAGCUGAAAACAUCAAAACUGUAUGUCUCCUAAAAAUCUGUCUCAUCUGUUCAACUCUCCUUUUUGCACACAAUGUGGGGGUUGAGAAAUCAAAGACCCUGAUUCAUUCAAGUAGUGCAGCAAAUUAUUUCUUGAUAAGUUCACUGUCACACACGUCUCAGUAGAUACUUAUAUUGUUUAGGUAAAAGUAAAUGAGCAUAUUCAUCCACAUAUGCACAGAUACUAUCAUAUCUACUCGUGCAAAAUUGACAUGUACAUGAAACCCUGGAAAUUCUCUUUACCUUCAAUGUUCAUUUUACUUUUGAAAUGCAGUGCUACUCCAUGAUCCUCUAUGCGAAUCCUUUUUGAUAUGGAUCUACUUGGCUGGAUUUGUAAUCAAUUCCUAUCACCUAUUCAAUGUCCAAAGAAUAACUUUAGCCUUUUGUGAAAAAGUCGUCUUUGCCCCUCCAUUGGGCUCUGCCGUCUGAAUGCCACUGACAUUAUCUGCAUUUUCAUGUUACAACUUUCCUAUCCUUAAAAGAGGUGCAGAAGAUAAAAAGGUGAUGGUGUCAUAGAACCUUGUUUUUUCUCAUACGGGACACUCUGGAGUGAACAACAGUGUGCCUUAGUAACUGGUUUGCUCUUCGACAUUUUUGUAUAUUUUCAUACCAUGUCUCAAAUAGCUAGCUGCAGCCUUCCCUUGUUCAUGAACUUUAUGCAGUUUAAUUACUAUUUCCUAUAUUGUAACAGUUCUUGUAGGAUUAUGUUUGGAGUCUAGACCGGUUUCUGCAUUUUUCUCUCCUCUCGGGUUUAGUUUUUUUGUGAACUUUCAUUUAAAAUGAACUCAUUUAUCAUGAUUUACAAGAUCAUGCGUGAUACUCAAUUAAAAGUUUAUGUAAUGAGCUUUUUCUCUAUCUUUUCCAAAUUUACAGGUUUUGAAGAAGGAAUUUCCAAAAGGUGUUGACAUAGUUUACGAGUCUGUUGGUGGGGAAAUGUUUGAUCUUUGCUUGAAUGCUUUGGCCAUAUUUGGACGAUUGAUUGUAAUUGGCAUGAUUUCUCAGGUAUUGCCUCCUUAUGUUGUUGACAUCCAUCUGGGCCCGAUCUUUUAUCAUGAGUUUCCAGCAGUUCCAAUGUCAAACUUAGUUAUCUCGAUUAGGCUGUGCAGGAGCUUUUACAUUCUUGCUCUCACUUUCAGUGAGAAACCACUGAAAGGAAAGUUAGGUUUCUGAAGUUUUUGUAUGAGUCUUGUGGUCGUAAUGCAUAGUAGAAGUUCUACUGCAAUCACAUUUCUGUGCUGCAGAGGGUCGCAAGACAGACAUGAAGAUGUUUUGCUUUGUAUAAUGGGGACUAUUGGUUAGAGAUGCUAGGGAAAUAAAGAAGACUGUGCAAGGAGUCUUUGUAGCAAGUGCUACAUGUUUUCUAUCAACAUGCAUGUAUGGUUUUUCUCCAGUGUCUCCUGUAGUUGCGGUCUGUUCCCUCAGUAUGCAUACUGUUCUAGCAUUCUUCUUGCUUGAGUAUUAACUAUUGACAGUUGUACAUAAUUUUUAACCAGUACAAAAUUACUACUUUGAUUGUAGUAUCAAGGAGAGCAUGGAUGGAAACCAAAUAAGUACCCUGGACUUUGCGAGAAACUUCUGUCGAAAAGCCAAACUGUGGUAUGUUUGAUAACACUACUGCAUAAAGGACAGUGAUUGUACUCUACUGCAAUAAUUUUGCUCUUGGUGAUGCGCCAAGUAUAUAUCAGAAUAAUCAUGGACUGUGAACUCUAUAGUUGUUUAUGCCUUUCUCCCCAUGAAGUGUAUGAUAUGAUAUUGACAAUGUUGGCAGGCUGGUUUUUUCCUGGUACAAUAUAGUCACUUCUGGCAAGAACAUCUAGAUAGACUGUUUCAACUCUAUUCCAAAGGACAACUCAAGGUACUGCUCUUCUUCUUUUUUUAACAUUUCUAUUCCAGAGGACAGCAUAGAUCAUGCUGAACUUACAUUUCAUUAAUUGUAGAUAUCUGUGCCUUUUGCACAAUGCAAGGCCCUUGCUUUCCUGUUAUCUUAUUCCUUCAGCCUUAUUUUGAUAUCCAAUUCCCUACCAAAAGUCGCUGCCAAACUAAAUCUCUAGAAUGAGUUGGAUGAUUAUCUCUGCGCCUAAGUCGCUAUCCCGCCAAAUUUCAAAGUUCGCCAAGACUUAAUCUUCUAACUGAGUGCAGGUGGCCAUCGACCCAAAAAGAUUUGUGGGUCUCAAUGCUGUGGCAGAUGCUGUUGAGCAUCUUCAUUCUGGUAAAAGUAUUGGCAAGGUAUGUUCAUUGUCCACGAACUUUAUGGAUAUUUUGGGCAAAUCAUUUGCAAAUUUCAUUACUUUGUUUUUUUAAUUUUCUUGAUGCAUAAUAAAUUCUGUAAAUAUGAACAAAAUCUUAUUCCAGGUGGUGGUCUGCAUAGAUCCAACUUUCACUGAUCAAGUAGCAAGACUGUGAAGUCUGAUCAAGGCUGUUUGAUUGUUUCGUUAAUAACCAUCAAAGUGAAUUGCAAAGGGAUCUGUUUGAAAUAAUGACUCAGAUUGCACAUCCAUCCAAGCGAUUAUUAGGGAACUGCAGUAAGAGACCUCGAGAAAAUGAAUGUCAACCUUCAGCAGAAAAAACCAAAAGGCUACAGAGGAAUCGGAGUGAUAAAUAUGAAUUGCCCAUGGCUUUUUGCCAGGCGACAAAAGCUGUUAAGACACCUUUAGAUAUUCUGACAAUCCUUUUGUGGUCAUUCUCAUAAACAGAACCGUUGCACAAAUGAUUACAAUGUAAGGAAAAAUCAUUUUUUUAUGUAAACAGAUCAGUUGAAGUGUCCCAUUUAACACCCUGUUUUUUGUUCAGCUGGGCAUUAAUGACAUGGUAGAUCACUGUUUGAUUCUUUUUCCUACAUAAUGCUUUUGGUAUUCAAAAAGCUAGUGACGUUAAUUACCCGCACCGCCUGAUUAACUGCAAAAUAACUUAAGAUGUUUCAGACGCAAUGAAAGAUGUGUCUUGUACAACUUUGAUGGUGCAAAAAGCAAGCAUGUUGCUGUUAAUUUUAGAUAGAAUGCUACUGAUACAUACUGCUCCCAUGACAAUCAAUGCCCAAGCACACAACAGGCACGCGUUGCACUCCUGUUCUGUGACUAAUUUAAUUUUUAUGUCUUUUUAUCUGUUUAAAGUUAAAAAGAAGAACAAUGACUUUAACUUUUAUGGAAGGCAUUCACAAUUACACACAGCAUGCUAUUGAUCAAGUCAUUACCUCAUUGAAGCAAAGAGGGAUGAUAAACUCUCUGCAGUUCUGUUCACUUUUGGAUGAACAGAAUGUUCCACAACUUUCAUUUAUCGCGAUGUGUGUAGAUAUAUCUAUUUUAUAUUUAAUUAUAUAGUGAUGCUAGACUUAAGCUUUUUAUGCCUAGUUGAACGAGACUAGUAUUAUAUCUUAUCUAUUGUUUGGUGAAUUGCAGUAAUAAAAUCGGAUAUAUUCACAUUAUAUCAUGUACUUUUUUUUAGUAUAAACAAUACAUCAAUGUCAAUGAAUCUAAAAAUUCACAAACGCAAAUGGUAAAAGCAUCUUGCAAAACUAUUACCUAAUUUACUUUUGUUUGCUUAUUUUAUUUUAUUUUUCAUCUAUUUUUUAAUUAGUUUCUUUUUUAUUUAUUUUUUCCCCUUCCAUCAUUCUCUAAUAAAAUUCUAUUAAAUAGUAAACUUAACUAAUAUAUCAAUACAGAAAUACCUAAAAUGUGUAAUAAAUAUAAAUAGAUAUCUAUAAUCAUAUAUUGAAUUUAUAUCAUAAGAUAUAAUUAAAGUCAAAUAUAUAAAUAAUACUAAGAUUAAAUCCUAUCAAUAUUUAUCCCACCUCUUUACGGGAUAAUUUUAUUCGGCCUAUAUCAUUUUUAUAUCCGAUUUUAUCAUGUGCCGAGUAGACUCAAAACGCUGGAUAGGAUAAAUUUUAUCAUAUCUUGAAUUUUAUCUUGACCGCUAAAUGCUGUACUGAAAAUUGUUUAGCAUCAAUUUGUCACUCUCUAUAGCAUGCUUCAUAAAUCGUCACAUUCUUUAUAUUUCUUUUAACCCUCCUCUCGGAAGCAAUUGAUGCAACAAAAGCAAUCCAAUUUUUAAGGAGUGAGAAAGAAUAGUGUAUUCUUACUUGCUCGAAUCCGUUUGGCGCUUCUUGUUAAGUAUUUGACAUCUGCUUCCCUUUUCUCCUCUUUCCGGACUUCGGCUUCCUUCUCCUUUCCACGGUCUUCUGCUUCCUCCUCCUCCUUUCCACGGUCCUCUGCUUCCUCCUCGUCCUCCCCUUCAGCGACUUCCGCUUCCUUCUCCUCUGAUUCAUAGGCUCUGACGAUGUGUACCUGCCAAAAGGUACGCACUAAUUUGUAGUAAAGCCAGCAUAAAAGCUGAGAUGGAUGGUCAAAAUGCCCUGCAAACGGUGAGCUGAGUGGUCACUAUCUAUGAUUCAUCCAUGCAUGCCCGCCCGGGGGGGGGAGGUGUUCAGAAGACUUACCUUAAACGUCAAUGGCUGGAUCAGUUGAAACACCAGAGCAUCUCCGUCGACAAGAUCAUGAGCAAUGGAGAAACCUCUCCACCCGCCGCUAAGGCCAUUCUUGUCAAUGAGAUACUUCGUCUCGAACUCUUCUCCAUCCUCGUCCACGAGGGUCACGGUGUCAUCCCGGUGAGGGAUAUGCUUGUGGCAGAAGUUAUAUGGAAGGCUCUUGAAAACGAGGGAGACAAAUCAUCCGUUAGAAGCACUGAUAAAUAGCUCUAUCAGGUUCUUGUAGAGACUAUUAGCCAGUUUUUAUGCAAAGUCAGCUGCACGGAGGCCUAUCCGAAAUUUCAAAGCUUGUACCCUUUUUUCUAAUUACAAGUCAUUAUCGCAAUUUACUACACAUCAAAUUUAAGUGGAGUCUCUCGCUACUACAAACUUGAAGCAGAUUAUCAAGACUGCAUUCACUACAAAAAAGUAGCUGAGGAACAGAAAUAGAUCAAUUACAACAUGCCUCAUGCUGCAUCAAAGUGGUUAGAGUUAGUGCAUAUUGAACGCUUCAACUCUUAUAUUCAUAACCAAGAAUCAUUCAAUAUCUUCUUUCCUUCAGACAAAUCACAGAUAACUAUAUCAAGAAAAAGCCACCAAAAGCCACCACUAUGAGACAUUCACCCCAAAAUUUUUUGGUAAUGCAAAAACUCUCAAAUUUGUACCCAUGUGACAUAUUUAUUCCAAACUUAUAUCAUUUGACAUAUUUGCCCCAAACUUUUUUCUUGUUACACCAAAAACCUUAACUUGUAUCCAAAAUGUGUCAUAUGAAUAUGAGUUCAGGGUUUUUAGUGUCACCAAAAUAAUUGGAGGUAAAUGUGUUAUCUAGGUACAAGUUUAAGAUUUUUAGCAUUAUGAAAAAAGUUUGGAAUAAAUAUGUCACAAUGAGCAAUUUAGAGUUUUUGGUGGCUUUUUUUCUAAUUGUAUCAAACCUUGAAGAUACUUAGUUCCACUACUUGACCAAGCAUCAAUUAUGCGAUUUUCUUCUUUUCUCAGAUGAUUCUAAACAAGCGGAUGGAUGAUUAAGAAUUUACUUGGACAUAUAUCCGUAUUAACUCGCCAGAUCAUUUCGUUUCUCAUCCCUCACUCUUUCCAAGUCAAAGCAACGGUCUAACGCAUACUACACAUGCUGCAGGAUUUACAAAUCGCGGCACGAGCAUAGUUGAUACAGCACGACAAUUUCCUGCAUAUUAACGUUUGAAGGAGAGUGCAAAAAGAGAAAGGGUCAAUUUGCUUACUAGCCAAAAGCCUCCUGUGACAUGGGACUGAAGCAUGGGCUUGAUAAAGCUUGGUAACUCUGCAUCUAAGCUGGAUUGAAGUUGCUCUGCUCUCUCAAUGGCAUAUGUCCUUAUCGUAUCAGAAGCAUAUACCCUGUUCAACAGGUCUCUUCGCGAGUAGCUCCUACUAGAAAAUCAGAAACUUUAGAUACUUCACUCAGGAAUACACAAUCGAAUACUGGAAGAAAACCAGUGAGCUCUUGUCACUAACCUCCUCACUCUUUCCGAAGGGUUGAUUUCAAUUACCUGCAAAGGGGACCAUAUGUAAGAGGACCGUACAACAACUUUCAUGGACCCUUCAUCAUACAAACAGAUUAGAAUACCGUGUUCAUGUCUGUACUACUUCAGUUAUCACACUCCCUCAAUCAAAGUUUAGCCUUUCGACCCUUUCAAAUUAAUAAUGUUUCUUCCAAUAAUUAAGCAUUAUUCGAUUUAUGGAACCAGCAGGACCGCCACUCUUGCUGCAAAAAAUUUCAACCAGUCUCUACCACAGUGGCGUUUGAAUACCCGGAUUUAACAGAUGAUUUUAUAAAUCACUGACAAACCAUCUCUAGAAUCCUGUGAACAAUUGGCGCGCUCAUCACAUUCAUCGCAGGAGCUCAAAAGUUGACACCUCUGUAAGCUACAUAGCAGUAGUUGACCUAUAUAAUUUUCCAAAAUGUCGCAAAAGCUACUGUCCGAAACUUCCAACCAUAAGCUGAAAUCUUCACAUUGAACAUAUCAGUUGAAAAUGCAUAUCACGGUGCGCAUCAAAAGAGGCCCUUUUCGUGGGAUGGUUUAACUCCUCCAGCUUAAGCUGAAGAUUGAAUACAAAAGCCGAGAGAGAGAGAGAGAGAUCUUACUUCCUUGUAGUUAGGAGCAGGCUUGUUGGCCGUGCGGCUGGAGCGCCUCACGGGCUCGGAGUAGGUCUCCGGCUGCCUUCGAGGGGUCCGCAUCUUGCUCUGCUUCACCUGCCCACGCAAACAAAAGAGAACCACCCAAAAGCCCACAUGAAGCUACAGAUGUAAAACACCUGCUGAAGCAAUUGCAAAACACACAAACACAGACGAACAGAGAGAGAGAGAGAGAGAGAGAGAGUACUGGGGUGGACUUGGGGGAAGCGGCGGUGAGGGCGGCGGCGAGCUUGUUGAGGCGGAGCUCCUCCAUCCUCCUCUUCUUGUUCUCUUCCAUCCUCUGGCGACGGCACUCCUCGUAGUCCCUCUUCGACCCGACCACCUUCCCCAUUCUUCCCCUUAGGAAACCUCACACUCCAAAACCUCCUCCCGUCGAGGGAAACCAAUGGAAAUGGAGAGCUUGUCUGAGAAGAAGGAGAAGAAGGAGAAGGAGAAGGGGAGAAGGGGAGAGAGAGAGAGUAGAAAUGGCGUUUGGGCGCCCGAACGACAGAGCUGGUGAGGUGUUACUUUUGAACCUUUUUGAGUUCAAAUUGGUCGCUGUCGUUUUUCACUUUCUUUAAUGCCUUUCUUGCCAUCGAAUGAUGGGGAUAAAAGAUGUCAUGGGGACAAAUCUUAAACAAAGAUGUCACCCCUCAAAAUAGGUUAGCGACCGACUUCCUUUUAGAAAUUAGCACUGCUUACACACAUGGGUUUCCCGCUUAAAAUUCAAUUCUAUCUUUGAAAUUGUGUUUAGAGAAAGUUGUAGUAGAAUUUCUCGAUAAACCACUAUAUUAAGUCCAACCAUUGAAGGCGACUAAAUACUUUUUUCUCACUUAAGUUCAACCAAAAAUUACUAAGGCCCCGUUUGAUUCAGCAUUUACGAUGGGUUUUAAAACUCUAAAGUCCUUUGGCCAAAUAUAAACACGUUUGGUUUGUGUUAUUGCGCAACUUUAGAAAAAUACAAUUAUAUCUCUAAAUAGUUCUAAGGGCGUUUAGCCCAAAGCAAGUUUGGAGGUUCUUUUGGAAGUUGCAUUUUCAAAAUGCAAGUCUUGGCCCUUAGUUACUAUUCAUCUUCUUUGAAUCGUCGAAUGGAAAAGUAGAUCAGAGACCAAUGAUCGUCAGCUAAGGGGCCAUGCAUGCUGGCAACCGCCGCCUGGGGGUCACUCGACCCCAACAAUUGCUAGCGGACCUCAGGUGAGCACCUCAGGCAAUACCUAGGUCGUGCAACCCUAGGUAAUUGUUGCUUGAGUCACGCAACCUCAAGCGUCACUGCUUGGGUUUGCGCAACCUCAAGUGAUCAUCGCCUAAAUUGCACGACCUCAAGUGGCGAUGCCUAGGUCGUGUGAACCUAGGUGACAACACCUAAGGUUGCACUACCUAGGCGACUAUCAUCUGGGGUCAUGUAAUCUUAGGUGAGACCUCCAGUGGCCAGAUUUGGCCACUAAUGGUUGAACUCCCAAAAAAAAUCUUUUUUUUUUAAUAAUUUAGUAAAAGUCUUUUGUAGGUGUAACUUUUACUAUAUGGCAUUUAAGUCAAAGUUAGCUACCAAUGCACUUUUAAAUUAUUCACUAAAGAUGCGUUUGGAAAGACUUUUGGUGAAAAUUCUUGAGAAAAUGUAAAGAUCCUUGAGUUAAAUGAGUUUUUCGAAAUGCAAAUUGUGUUUGGUAAAUUGUACUGGUGAAAGUUCAUUAUGAAGUAUCUUUGUGCAAAAUAGUGUUUGGAUAAAUUAAAUUUGUAAAAUGCUUUUAUUAUUAAAAAAAAAAGGGAAAAAAGGAGAGUUGGCCGGCCAAGGGCUUCGCCAGUUACCACCAACGAAGGGUAGGCGGCGCGGUGAAGGGUAGGCUAUUCGGCGAGAGGGAAGCGCUGUGGCGAAUGGCAACGUCCGACUAGGGUCACCGUGCGAAGGACAUGGCGCAGCAACCAGGAUUUCGCGAUUUGGGUCGCCGCAACCCUCGCCGAGCCAUCGUGUGACCCACCGCGCCGCAGAGGUCAUCGGUGCCCACAAUCUGGUCGCCACGACCCAAAUUUGCAUAGAUCUGGGUUGCCGGAGUCCUUCGCGCGGCGACCCUCGUCGAAGGGUUGUGGAACCUUAACCGGACCACUUGUCCUUCGCCGCACCGCUUGCCCUUCGCCAAACCACCUACCCUUCGCCGGCAACCGCGUAGAUGCUGGCCGUGUUCUCAGUAGAGAGAAGGGAAGGACGAAGAUGAUGAAUAGUUGUCGGGGUAAAGCCGGAAAAACAAAAAAUUAAUAAGGACAAUUUCGGAAGAAAAUUUUUAUUACCUUCCAAGCCUUCCAAGCCAGCAUGCCGAGAAUGCCCAAGGCAACCCCCAACCUGCCUUGGGCUUUCAAUCUUGGAAAGACUUUGCCUUUGACAAAGGCAAGUGUAAAAAAAUCGCCAAACACUCAAUUUUUGGCCCAAAGGCCUUUAGCCUCCUAAAAACACUUGGGCAAGCAGUUCCCAAACGGAGCUUAAAUGCUAUUUGCAUUUAAGAAAAUAUCUUUAAUCCAAAAUUUUUGCAUUUUUUUUAAAAAAUAUUCCCCCAAAACUGAACAAAACGAGACCUAAAUACUAUUUUUUGUCACCCUAGGGUAAGCAAGAAAGAGAUGAGAAAAAAAUUUAAGUUUGUCAUCUCAAGUAACACUUACUCGAGCACACUAUGAUUCCAAAGGCAACAAAGUAUUCCAUUGCCUUGGGAUACGUUAAAGGUGACAAAAUUUUAAAAUUUGUACCAUCAGGUCUAACUUGAGGUAACAAAACCAUGAUUUAUGCUAAAGUUUGACCUAAGGUGAUGAAACUCUGUUUGGUCUCCUUUGGGAAACCUACAGCGACAAAAGUAAAUUUGGUUGCCUUCGGUUGGUUUUUUUGUGAUGAUUCUUCAUUCAUUAUUUAAUUUCCUAAAGAACACUAAUAAUGCCGCAACUUUUGGGCUUCUAGGUAUAACUUACCUUGGAGGAAAAGAUCCUAGAGCGAAAACCUUACCUAGAAGGUGAAGUUCUUAUCGGGUAAGGACUUCUUCCAUAGUAUGGCGUGAUUCUCUUUUAGAGCUCUUUGUUAUCUUAUUUGAAAAAAGAGAAAUUGUAUAGUCUUCCAUGAUGAAACAUUAGUCUUAUCGGCUCUAAAAAACUACCUUAUUAAGGUUGUGAAGGACAAAGCACUUUCCUUAAAGAAUGUGCUUGCUUUUCCAAGGAAUAGAAGACUUCAUAGAGGAUGGGGCUUUGACCCCUUAGUGUUUAUCCAGUAAACUUGCUUCUCAAGCUUCUUGAGUUGUGUGACUUUCCCCUAGCCGUCCUGGCUCUCCUGCUCGCCCCGCUUCUUGGUGUGUGUUGAGGUUUGGUAGCCGUUGGUGUUUGACUCUUUUGCCCAAGUUGUGAGCUUUUUUUGCUCCGUGUUUGUUGUUGCCCCUGUGGUGUUUAAUUCGGCUCCCUUCCACUCUUUCUAUUGUUGUAGUUAGAGUGUAAGUUUUGGCGCCGUCUUUUCUGUAUAUUUGUCCACAGUUCAAUAUAUAUUCUUACUUUUACCAAAUAAUAAUAAUAAUAAUAAUAAUAAUAAAUAAUGCCGCAACUUUUGUACAAUGCAAAUUUUGGUGUCAUAAGUUUUCAAUCAAUCAUUUAAGUAUCGUAACUUUUGAAAAUUGAUCAUUCGACUAAUAUCAACCACUUUUGUUUCUGGAAAAUUACAUGUGACAUUAUUUUAAAAUAAAUAAUUGGACAUGUCUUGUCUAAGAUGUCAACACUCAAGAUAUUGAUCAAAGGAAGUUAUUUGGCAAUAGGAAUAUGCUCAAAAUUCAAGAAUUGGGUUGAAUUUACUCCUUAUACCAAACCAUAAAACCUUAAAUCUUCCUUGGGUGCGUUUGGAAAGACUUCUGGGAAAAGUCCUUGAGAAAAUGUAAAGGCCUUUGAGCUAAAAGGGUUUUUGGAAAUGCAAAUUGUGUUUGGUAAAUUGUAUUUGUAAAAGUCCAUUGUAAAGUAUGUUUGAGCAAAAUAGUGUUUGGAAAUAUUAACUGUGUAAAGAACUUUUGUUAUUAAAAAAAAAAGAAAAAAAAAAAGAGAAUUGGCUGGUUACCGCCGGCGAGGGGCAGGUGGUCUGGCGAGAGGCAGGCGGCCGGCGAGGGUCGCCGGGGCCGCUCCAUCUAGUUGCGGCGACCCCGAUCGCGACCAGAUCGUCGUGACCAUAUCGCGCGAUCCCGAUCGCUUAAUUUGGGUCGCCGGAGGUUGCGCGGCCCAGAUCUGGGUUGCGGCGACCUCCGGGGACCCAAAUCUGCACACGAUUUGGGUCGCCAGAGGUCGCGCAGCCCAGAUCUGGGUCGCGAAGACCUCCGGUGACCCAGAUUUGCCGGGCGUCACAGCGUCGCCGGGGUUGCAACGGUCUGCUGCGACCCAGAUCUGGGUGGUUGCCGAGGGUUGUAGCGGUCGUGGCGACGCGACUCACAGGGAGUCACCGAGGUCAUGCGACUGGCCGCUAACGGUCAUUGUGACACACCGGCCUCUUGCCGCCUCUAUCCAGCUCGUCGCCGGCCCCUCACAGCUUGGCGCAACUUCGCCGACCAACCUCAACGAAGAAGAAGGUGAAUAGUUACGAGGACAAAACCGGAAAAACGAAAUGUUAGCGAGGACAUUUAUGGAAAAAAAAAUUAUAUUACUCUCCAUCAGCCUUCCGAGAAGGUUGAAUGCCCAAGGCAGUCCUGGGGGUGCCUUGGGCUUUCAGCCUUGGGAAGGCUUGCCUUUCCCAAAGGCAAGUAAAAAAAAUCUUCCCAAACACUCUUUCCUUGGCCCAAAGGCCUUUAGCCCUCCAAAGGUCCUGGGAAAGUAGUUCCCAAACGUAGCCCUUAAAAGGGGUCUUUUUUUUUUUUUAAUGGGGUCUUUUUACAAAACCUUUUUCUUGAUAUCAUCCCUUCGCAACAGCCACGUCGCAUGAUUUAACAUUAAAUCAAUGCCAUAUAAGAUUUACAGGCAAUGAAACCUUUUUAAAAAGUCACAACACUUAAUUGAUCACUUAGAAAGUCAAGACACCAAAAUGCGAAAGUUAUAACACUACUUGUGUCAUUUUGCCAUUGGACACCAUGAAAUUCAAGUUUAAUUUCAGACCUCAAAAACAAUUAAACAAUCAAGUUUGGGCUAACCUUCGUCUGGUUUUUUAUUUCUUUCCUAAUAAAUAUGAAUUACUUGUAUUCCAUGAUCAUAGGGAUUAGGAUACUUUUGUAGUCUCUAUGACGCUAUCCGUACAAAACAAUUUUUUUGUUGUUAAUAUCUCAAAUUAAUUUUUUUUACUAUCAAAAAUUCAAAAUUAGUACAUUUGUGAUAAUUUUAUCCUCUAUUAAUUUCCAUUAAAUUGAAUUAGCACCACGAAAAAUUAUAAACUAGGACGAAUAGUAAAAUCGUAAAUUGAUACACUGACCAAUUAUUACUUGUUAUCUAAUUCAGUAAUUUAAUAGUAAAAUUUAAUAUAAAUUAAAUGAAAAUAAAUUUGUCAUAUAUAUAUAAAUUUUUGUUUAUUAGUUUGGGGUAAAUUUUUUUAUAAAUAUAUUAAUUCAAAAUUUUUUAUUAUAUUAAUUCUUUUUUUAUGUACUUUUAAUCAUGCAAUCACCCGUUUGCAAUCUCUGGUGGUACUAGAGGACAACCAUGUUUUUGAGAUGAUGUGAUGCAGCAGCACGAACAGUAACUUCAUUGUACGUUGCUGUUAAAGUUGUCAAUCAUUACCCUAAACCGUAAAAUCCUAAACCCUAGUAUCUCUUUGUCCUAGUGAUUGGCCUGAAAACCAGCGAUUCUGAAGAUACUCGAAUCUGAAUAACCUUAUGAUAUCUCAUGUUGGGAAGUGCUCUGUGAUUUUUGAAGGUGAAUAAAUGGUUUCUUAAUUGAGACAGCUAUCAAUCAGUCCCGGGUCUAGAUGAUAUCCGUGCACGAAUAAAACUAGAUGUUGUUCACAAUGGUUCACACCUCAUACCAAGAUAGUAAUGACAAAAUCCUAACAAAUACCAGUGCAUCAAAAUGUGAUGCAACAUAAGAAAUAAAUAUAUUGAGAGCCCUAAAACUUAUAGCAAAAUUGCAAUCGAGACUUAAUAUUUUUAAACUGCAAACAAUUCCUAAAACUUAUCAAGUUAGUAUAAAUAGCAUACUAAGCAAGCAAAACCUGCAAUUAGUCCACACAGGGUACAUAUUGUCUAGAAUGGGUGUUGAACAAUUGCUCAAAGAGCAGUCGCAGAAUUUGUCACCGAGUGAAAAAGGAGUGGAAUUGAAAGUAGACGAAAGAUGUUGAGAAGAAAUUUCUUCUUAAUUGGGAUAGCAUAACCGGUAGAACAUGGCAUCCUUUUCACUCUUUACUGGUGCGGAGAUAAUACCGGUUUUUAUAGAGGAGCAAGCCAACCCUGCAAAUCUUUUGCUCUUGUUAACUUUAGACUCUGCACCCGUUUGGUUGGACUUUCCCAAGGGGCUUUGGGCUUAAAUAUGAGCAUUCCGAAUGCCGAAUGUUGAAAGCUGGAGAGGGGUUGCUUUGGGCAUUGGACAUUUGGGAAAUGUCACCGCGUACUAUUCAUCUUCUCUUCCCCCUUCGUCUUCUUCUUCUUCUUCUUCUUCUUCUUCCCGGCCAUCGGGCUUCUCCGGUAGCCGCCACUUGAGGGUCGCGCAUCCCCAGUGACCACCGCCUGGGGGUGGUCGCGCCUCCAGGCGGCGAUGGCAUCACUUGAGGUCGCACAACUUGGGUCCACGCGACUUUAGGUCGCCAGAUUUGACGGUUCGAAGGCCAGAUCUAGCCUUUGCGCCUCUAGGCGCCUAAGGUUGCACCUCCAGGCGCCUAAGGUUGCACCUCCAGGCGGCGACGGCGUCGCCUAAGGUUGUGAUCUCAAGCGGCCAGAUCUGGCCAUCCAGCACUGCUAGCCGCCGGAUUUGAUUUUUAGAUUUAAAAAAAAAAAGAAAUAAAAGCAAAAGUCCAUUUGUAAUGUAAGUUUUGCCAAAUGGUAUUUUGCUAGGGUUGCCUUUCAAUGCUAUUUGAGACUAUAAUUUACCAAACGGUGUAAUAUUUCGGAAAACCCCUUUACCUUAAAGGUAUAUGCAUUCUUCCAAGAGCCUUUCCCCAAAACCGAAUCAAACGGGCCCUAUGUAGCUUUGCGUAUAGGGCACACAGAGAAGUGAACUGAGUCCCAACUAUGUUCAUUAUUGCAUAUUCUCUUAGACACUUGGGCAACCAUAUAUACACUGAUAUGGCCUAGCAUCCUCAUAAGACGCUGUCUUGGUGCAUGAUCAUUGAGGCCGAUCUUCUCUGCGGAUUGUCUUCACUAUCAGGCGUAUCGUUUGCCCCACGAGAAGCACAGCCAUCAAGCCAACCCACACGAUGAUUCCGAAUCCUAUAAUCUGGUAGAUCGAAUUGUUUUCUUGAGAGGGUGUGAAGGCUGCUAUUGAGAGACCAUAGGCGACACCAUUAGAAUCCACAUGAAAAACCUAUGCCUCAAAGGGAGGCCACUCACGAGUAACAGGAUGAUGCUGAGGGACGCAAGAAAACCUACUGUGUUAACAGCCAAGAAACGCCAGUAUCUUAUCGAAUAAUUAUCGGCCAUGAUGGAAAAUCCUGCAGUGUGUGGAUUUGGACUGUCAUCCUCGGUAGUGUCUUGCCAAAAAAUACCCGGAGGUUGAUACCAACUUGGAAGGACAUUGUUGCGGUCAAAGAUUGUUUCUUGAGAUUCUUCUUCCAAUCUUUUCGCUGCACGGGGAAUGUGAUACUCUGAUCAUUUGCUUUUGGAGGUAAGGCUCUUAUCAUUAAGGGUUUGAUUUCACUCGUACAGAGAGCAUUAACAUUUGCGCUCCUCACUUCAGCUUCACAAAAAUUGUUUAUGUUGUCAAUGUGCCUUCCAGGUAUUCCACUCUGUGAUGAAAGGUCAUAUGCUACCGGAUUCUUCCGAUUCAAAAAGUCCAUUUCUACUGCUAUACAAGACAUCAAGAAAUUUAUUGUCUGCUUAGAUCGGCAAUUGGAUGCGUUAAGGGACUAUAUGAUAAGACAACCCGAGAUUAUACGGGUCGGCUUAGGGAGAUACAAAAGAGAAGACAGUUAUAGGUGCUUAAAAUUAUAAGAUUGAACUAGUGCAUUUCUACUUACCUCAAUUUGCUUAUCUGCAAUAGCCAAGUGUAAUAUAAUGUCACCAUCAUCGUUCUUCAAAUUAACGAACUCAUUAUCUCCAAUAUUCUCCGCCAAAAGCUUCAGAGCUUCCAAAUUAUUAUGCUUCACACAUAAAUGCAGUAUAGUCUCACCAUGCUCCAUCCUAUGAUGUGCUGCAUCGGGAUUCUCUCGGACCAGUUCCUUUAGAACAUUUAGAACAUUGAUUCAGCCUUUAACUGCUGCAACAUGAAGAGGGUUCCUACCAUAUCUGUCACGAGUGAAGCACAUACUUGCGUUGACGCUCGACAAUUUCUUUACUACUAUAAGAUGAACUUUUGCUGUAGCGAGGUGCAGGGUUUUACAAUUUUUGAGAAUCCGGCUCGCCUGCAAGCUCGACUUUUCGAUCCAGAAUCUUGUCAAUGAACUUCUUAUGUCCAAGCGUUGCUGCUACAUGUAAUGGGGUCCCAUUGUAAGACCACAUGAUACAUCCAUCAAGAAUCAGUGGAUUGUCUUUGAGCAAAUCAAGCAAAGAAGUCACAUCAGCUUCAGCUGCUGCUUUGUAAAGCCUGCUCUCCAUUUUUGCUCCUCAAGCUCUGAAACGCAUCCGAGCUUCAUAAAAGGGUUUUGCUUGAAGCAUUUGGCUGUAUGGCCAGGAAAGUCAACUUCUUCUGGAUGGAACAUCAACAUCCUUAACAAAAACCAUCGUUUGUUGACAUUGAAAAUUCUGGAUAUUUAUUGAACAAGUCAUUAGCCCAAAAAGAAAUUGUAGGGACUCAUCACUGAUUAGUGAGAAGCCAUUCGAUUUGAGUCGAUAACUUCUUCUAUACGAUCCCACAGCAAGUUGAUAGAAGCAUUAGACUAGAAUACGAAAUUAUUAACAUGACACAUGUUAUCCGAGGAAGUUAGAGUCAACAAAGACUUGGAUUAUAUUAUCAGCUGAACCGAUUAAUUGUCAUUAAUUUUCAUGAUUGAGUUGUUCAUAGCAUUACAUCAGAAAUCCAAGGAAACUGGGAGAAACCGUAAUUUGUUCUUUCUUUAGGGUAGAUGGCUACAACGACUGUUGAAUACAUUCAUACAGGGCGGAGCAUCUUUGACCAGCAUAGCAUCCAGUCCAAUGCCAAAAACAUUAGGAAGAUCGGUACAUUGUACUCUUAUGGUUGCUGACAUGUGCCUAACCGCAACCAAAUUCCUUUGUAUGUAUAACGUUAAAUGCGAUUUAGGUGUUCCGGGUGCAUAAGGCCCAAUAGUCAAAGGGGACGCGGGACAAGUUAAAUUAUGGCCUCAGGUUUCCGAUUUAGGCGUUCUUGGUAUCCAUGUGCUUGUAUGAGGAUGCUUUACACCAUGGUAUAUUUAUUUUUUUAUGUUUGAUGAUUUUAUGGAUGUAGAAACACAUACAAAACCUUAGAUUUGCAUAUUUUUAGAGAUUUUUUGUGAUUUUGGAAAUAUAGGUGCUAGCUCACAUGAAUAUCAUCACAUAAAGAAUGUGUAAAGUGUGAUUCAUUGAUAACAUGUAGAAGGUUCGACAUGUAUCAAUGAAUGAAGUGAUGUAAUUGAUGUGAUAUGUGGUUUUAGUGACAAAUUACUCCUGUCAUCAAGUUUAAAAUCACAUGUAAAUGGCAAAAUGUGAGACAUAAAGUUUAUAUCCCUAGUAUGAGAAAGUUUCAAUCAUUGACUUGGGUUGUGAUAGUUAAAGUGGCACACUUGAUUGAGUUGGAGAAAUAUCGAUUUCAUAUUAUGGUGGGAUGUCUCAUGUAAUAAUGCACGGUUAUGCUCCCAAAGGAGGUGAUUACGUAUUAAUUCAUGGAGGAAUAUAUGGUUAAAGAGUGACUAAUCCUAGUGGUUUAUACGCUCCAAGAUGAUGAUUCCUGAAGGUUGAAAUAGAUUCUCAUGACCAUUGUCAUGUGGAGAGUAUACAAUUUCAUAUCAUGUAUUCUACCAAAGAUGAUUAUAUGAUGAUUUAUGUAACUCUUUGAAUGUGUACUUAUGUGAUUUUAAGUUACAUAGUACUCACAUGAUGCCAAUUAUAUACAUUACUUAUUAUUUUAAUCACAUUAUCUGUAAUUGAUAACUCCAUAACUAUUAAAGCUCUUACUAGUUCAAACUUUAAUUAAUGGAAAGAUGAUUUUAUGUUUGAGAUGGAGCUGACAUAUGUUCAUAUUGCUAUUAUAAGGAUAAGCCGGUGGAUCAUAAUGCCGACGAUACAAAAUCCUAUAUAUAUAUAUAUAUUUUCUUGGGAAGAGAGCAAGUGAAUUUGCUUAUUAUCAACGAAGCAAUCCAUUUAUGAACAAUUAAAGAGUGGUUUGUUAGUUGACUGCAUCGCUAGACAAAUGAUGGAAGGCUUGGUGGCUUGGAACCAUGCCUCCUCUAAUGCCAAGAUUGUGACACAUCUACAAGGACUCUUCAGCAUAAGGUAUGAUAUUCUAAUGAGAUCAGGGAUUACGUCCUAAGGAUGGUAAACUUAAAAUCUAAAAAUCAUACUUAUAAAGGAACUCAUAAAACCACCAAUCUUCCUAACAAUCUGGGUCAUAAAUAGAAUCCUUUAAGAAGAAUUGGUGAAUGUUAUUUCUUUAUUAAAAGAAAAGUCACAUAAAGAUAGACUGUGGCAAAUAUAUAAAGCUUGGUUAUUCAAGCGUGAGCCUAUAGUUAAUGAUUUUUUAACAUUCGUUUAUGAAUCCAAUCUGUAUCAAGGGCCUUGUCAAAUUCUUGGUGGAUAGAUAAUGGAACAAAUUAUUUGUUGCAUUUACCAUAUGGAGAUUCAUAAAUUGAAAGAAGCCAAUUAUGACAAAUCAUAGCUCACCAUGGGAAACAAUGAUAAAGUCUAUGUUGAGUUUGUAGGAGAUAUCAUUUUAAUUAUAAAUUCCGGUUUUAAUCUAAUAAUAAUAAAAACAUUUGAUGUACUUUCCUUGAAAUGGAACUUAGUUUCAUAUCAUGUUUAGAUAUGUGCGAUACUCUUUUGAAAUAAAGAAUAGUAUUACUUUUAUGUUUUUCUUUUUUUCAAUUCAAAAUAAAGUUGGGUGUUGCAAUUUGUCUAAUGGAUUGUACAGAUUAUGUUUAACUCCUAAUGAUAUAUACGUCACUUAUAUGGUUGAAAAUGCUAUUUCCAAAAGAUCUCUGCCUAUAGAACAAUUUCAUGCAUUGUGGAGACUAUUAUAGAGGCAGGAUGACUAUAAUUUAAAAAAAAAAAUUGCAAUAUGAAAUUCUAACUUAUUGGAAGUCAUUCAUAGUAAUUUUAGUGGACCUUAUAAGGUAAUAUUGUGUGGAAAUUUUUAUUUUAACACAUUCAUUAAUGAUUAUUUCCUGUACUUGCUUAAGUAAAAGUCUAAAUAUCUUCAUAAGUUCAAGAUUUUUUUUGAAUAAAAAUCAAGAAAUAGUUUAGAUAAGUUUUAAAGGUUGUCAGAUCGAACCAUGAUGGUAAGUAUUUUAGCAAGUAUGGUAAUGCUGAAAAACUUAAAUGGUCAUUUGUCAAAUAUUUGAGGAUUCUGGGAUAGUAAUCAAUUUACUAUGCCCAAAAAUCUUGAACAAAAUGGCAUGGUUGAAAGGUAUAAUCACACCCUAACAGACAUAAUGCUAAUUAUUAUUAGCAAGAAUGAUUUACCAAGUUUUCUAUGAGGUGAAGCUUUGAAGAGGCCCUUUAUAGAUAAAACCGUGUUUCUUCCAAAGUUAUUCCAUUGACUCUUUUGAGUUAUGGAGUGAAUGCAAAACUAACUUGAAUCAUCUUAAGAUUAAGGGUAUCUUGCAAAAGUGAGGUUAUAUAACUCAAUAUUAAGUAAGUUGGAAUCCAGAACACUCAAUAUGGAAUCCAGAACACUCAAUAUUUUUUUCGUAUAUUACUCAGAUCAUUCGAAGGGGUAUCGAUUUUAUAACUUCAAUGAAGGUGCAAGAAUUUUGGAAUCACGAAUAAUAAAUUUUCUAGAGUUCGACAUAAUCGCAAAAGAUAGCAACUCUUAGACUAUUAAAGAUAAUAGUACGGUGGAGAUGACCAUGCUUUAUCUUCGCCUAUAUAGACAACUGUGAAGUCUUCUACAUCAUAAACUAAGCCUGUUGAGGUUCAGGUAUCGUUAUUGAGACAAUUUCAAUAUCGAGACACUUAGAGUGCCAAAACUUGACAUAGGAGGAUACUUAAGUACCAAAAUCGGAGUAAAGUGGAUCAAUUAAGUGCCAACGAAAAGAAAAUUUGGCCAAAUUGCGCACAUGGCAUUUUUCAGUGUCAUCUUUUACUAAGGCGGCAAUUAUGGUCAUCGGUCACCGUCAUCGCCGUCAUCGGUCGCCAUCGUCACUUGUCCAUGUUUGGCCUCUUCUCCCCUUCCCCUGUGAUGAAAUUAGGACUUGAACUCGUUUAUUAGGGCUUCGAUGGGAAAUUUGGGGCUUGGAUAGGAAAUGUGGAGGUCGAUUGAGAAAUGUAGGGCUUGGAUGGUACUUUGAUGUGCGAUUUAGGACUUGGAAGUGGUGCUAAAACCCUAAUGGGGGUUCGAAUUGGCAAUUUAAGGCUCCGCCUCAAAAUGUAGGAUUCGACGAAGGGAAAAUUAGGGCUCAACCUUGAAGAUAUGGUGUUAUUGUGAUGUGUGACUUAGAGCAGUGCUACUAUGAUGUGUGUUUAAAGCUUGGAUAUGGUAUUGUGAUGUGUAAGGGCAAUUAUUAGGGGUCAGAUAUGAAAUGUGAUGUGCGAUGGCAAUUUUGAUGGCUCGGAUUGGUUGUCAUGCGGACAUUUGGUCAUUUUUUUUUAUAAAUAAAAGUGUUGAAAUUGGUGUCGUGGGGACCUGUGCUUGUCGUAGGGACUUUUGUUUUUUGGUUAAUAUUUUAAGGGAAGGCAAAUAAUCGAAGUGGCUAUCAUGUAAGGGUAUAUUUCUGUUAGGGAAAUCCCUUAUGAUGUUUUGAAGAUGACAAAAUAAAUCAAAGGCUACUAACAUGUUUGAUGGUUGAGUAAUAGACCAUGCAGAUGUUAGAACAUGUAGAGGAUAUUAUCAAAGUCAGAAGACGGCCAGAAGACUGAACGUAACAUAUGCCCAGAGUAUAUUUUGAAGAUUUCCAGACUUCUGUGUCAAAGUCUGAAGACUGCCAGACUCGAGACUCCAAGUCUGAAGACUGCCAGACUCAAGACUCAAAGCCUGAAGACUACCAGACUCAAGACUCAAAGUCUAAAGACCGCCAGACUUUAGUGUCAAAGUCUGUUCUACAUCAGAAGUCUGCUCACUCUGACUAAUUCCAGACUGAAUGUGAAUGAUGAACUAGAAGACAGACUCUAUGCUGAAGCUGAACCAGAAGACAGACUCUAUACUGAAGUUGAACUGGGUACAGACCUUAAACUAAAUCUGUUCAGAAGCAGAUAUGUUCAGACCCAGAUUGUAAAGUCUACAGACUCAUAUUGUAAAGUCUACAGACUCAGACUUUACAUCCAGAUUCGAUGAAUCGUAACUCAAGCCCAAUCAUACAACAGCUAGUGAUCUGGUUUGGAUUCCACAUCAAGAUUGAUUUGAUUGAUUCAAUCUAAUUGAUUGACGAUUGGAUCUUGAAGACAAGAAUUCUAUACGAAGAAGCUUUACUUAUGGAAACCAAGAUUUCGUUUGUAUGAGCGAUCGGAAUCAAUUUGGGAUUUUACAUUUGUCACUCAACGGCUACCAAAUCUUCUAAAUACAGAGCUGUCCAAUGGGUAUAUUGGAAGACGAUUCUCCGGGAUGCUGUCCAACGGUUAGUUUGGAAGUGGAGGAGUAUUUAAGGAGAUGAAGGACCGAUGAGCAAGAAAGAGACGGAGCGUAGAAUUUAUAAUUCCAAAGUCUGAGCGACUUUCGAUCAUAUACUUGUCUCUUGAGAGCUUAAACGUUUGUAAUCGUGAGAGAAAUACCAAGAGAGUGACUUAGUGAGAUAGUGUGAUCUACUAAGUGUAUGCACUCGAAGUUGUAAUCUCUUGUUGAUUGCAUAGUGGAAUCCAGCCAAGAAGGCUGUUAUCGUGGGAGAGUGGACGUAGGCUUGGAUUAAGCCAAACCACUAUAAUUUAUGUGUUCUUAUUCUCUUCCCUAACUCUUUUAUUUUGUUCAUACUAGCACUCUCAAUUGGUAUCAGAGCUCGUGUACUCACUUUGUUUGAAGUGUUUUACUUCAGAGUAAAAAGAUCCAUGGCUAGUAUGUUGGCUCCAGGACUUAUGGAAGGGCAAAGCAACACAAGGCCAUCAUAUUUCGAUGGAAGAAAAUACAAGCAGAAUGGCCAGAAAAGAACAAUGAAAGAAGAUGAUGUGCAAAGAAAUAUAUGCUUGACAGCACAUUUAGAAUCUGAGUCUGACUCAGACACAGACUCAGAAUCAAAGUCUAAUUCAGAACCAGACUCAGAAUCCGAUGAGAAAAUCAAGGAAAUAAAGGAAAAGAAGAAGUUGGUAAGGAAUGUUUUUGGGCACAUAAUUCUCAUUAUGCUUGAUAUUCGAUAUAUCCUUGAUUGAUUCAGAUUUUAUAAUGAUCAUAUUUUUUUGAUUUGCUUUAUUGAAGAAAGAAUUGUGUGAUUUGUGAUUCGAGAUUUAAUUUGAUACGUGUGAUCAUUUUUGAUAUCAUGCUUAAAGACAAAUGAAUUUAUUUGGUUUGAUUUUAUACUCUCAGAUUUUAUCAUAUUUUUCCAAAUAAAAAUCUGUUUUACGUGAUAUUAAUUUAUGAUGCAAGAUAUUAUUGUGCAUAAUAUUCUUUCUUUGAAUACUUUGUUAUGAUAAAUUAAGAAAGAAUAUUUGAUUAUGGAGAUUAUAUAUUUUACUCUAACGUCAAGGAAGGAUCCAAAUUAAUGGAUACCAAAAAGGGAAAUGAGUUGAUUGCAGGAAAUUCUUUAAGGGAAGGAUGAUUGCGAAUCUACGCAGAUUUUGGUGCAAUCAGAAAAUAUCUCCUGCGACAGUUGCAACAAUUGUUUCUAUUCGCAAAUAUUGUCAUGAUCACAGGGGGAGAAAGCAAAUCCAAAAGAAAAGGAAAAGAAUCGUGAUCAUCUCAAAAAGGCAACAAAUUGAGGGGGAGCAUUGAUCAAUUAUGGAAAAAUCUUUUUUGAUUGAUCGUGAUCUUAUUAUGGAUGGAAGGAAAGGUAAUUGUAUCAGAAUUUAUUCUACAAAAUCCGGUUAGUGCAUCUCUUAUUACCUUUUGUCAUUAACAAAUCUCAUAUUGAUAUUAUCAUUUUAUUAUGACAAAAAUGGUACGUGAAUUUCAUGAUGCAUCUGUGAUUUUUAUUGGAUAUUUGCUGAUAUAAUCGAAGUGAGCUAUAUUGCAUAUCUUCAAUAUUCGAUUUACUUUAUAAAAGCUGAUUUUUGGAAAUUGUGAUUCAUGCAAGAUAUUUGUUAUCAUUCUCUACGUGAAUCCAUUAUUAAAGACUUUUUGAUUAUGACAAAAAGGGGGAGAAGAUAUGAAUAUGCAUAUGUGCUGAUUGGUUGAUAUUAUUUAUUGCAUAAUAUUGAGCUGCAAUUAUUUUCUAUCUUCUGAUAUCCUUUGAUUUAAAUUUUUAAAAGCAUGUUUACAAAUCNNNNNNNNNNNNNNNNNNNNNNNNNNNNNNNNNNNNNNNNNNNNNNNNNNNNNNNNNNNNNNNNNNNNNNNNNNNNNNNNNNNNNNNNNNNNNNNNNNNNGAAAAGGUCGGACGUUUAUUGCCAAUAUAGCAAACUAUCUUUUUAUUCCUUUCGCAAUUUUAUUUGCUGGAGCUGUUGCUUUCGGUCAUUUUCUAGUCUAAGUACAUCGAGAUAAUUACCUUCAGACAUCUGAUCAUGUCUCAUAUGCCAUAUUAAAAUUUGUUUGCUCUUGUUGAAAAUUUAGGCUGCACAAAUGGAAUCUGGCAAAGUAGUUCUUGUUACAGCUGCUGCCGGAGGGACUGGGCAAUUUGCUGUCCAGGUCUGUUUCUCAUUCAGAUUGAUGCUAUUAAAUCAGUAUUAUUAGAUCUAUGACAAUGUGAUUUUGCAACUAUAGUAGGAUUGCAGAGGUCAGUAUUGAGGGAAUGAGAUAUGACGAUCUCUAUCUGUAGUGUUUUUACAUAAUUUCAAUUGAUUGAUGUCCAACAAUUAGUCUAUUGAUAAGGUAACUUGCUAAAGUGAAAGGUGCUGAAGAAGACGCCAUGAAUUAGGGAGUCGUUAAGUAAGGAUAGUUGGAAAUAAAAAUUUUGAAGAACACCCUGCAGUCACGUCUAACUCUUAGAGGUCCGCUUAACUGGCUUUCUAUCUACAUGCUUGCCAAGCUUGCUUGUCUACUUGAAUGUUACUCCUAAUCUUUUCUUUAGUAGGUGUAUGAUCUUGUCAUGAUCAGGUAAUUUGAUGUGUCUAAUCAUAAUACAGUAUCUAUAGGGGUUUGCUUAUUACCCUUCUGUCCCAAGUAGUCAAGAACAAUAAAAAUUAUACCCUCCUGCAAAUUUAGGCGAUUGUUAUCCAGACUUCUGGCUAUCUAGUUGUCUAAUUUUCCAUUGUUGAUUUUUCCAGUUGUAGACUUAGAAGAAUUAAAAAGUUACCUUAAGUUGCUUUUGCAUAUUUGCAUGUAGCCUUGUGUCCUUGCAUUCAUGAUUCCGCAUGUUUGCUAAAAGGGAAGAAUUACACUGCAGCUUCUUAAUAUUAUUGUUUCUGAUAUGUUAGCAUUUUCUUCCGGAAGAGAAGAAUCUCUUCUUUCUUAAACACAACAUUGCGUGUGCUUAACUACGUUCCUCAACUGCUCACAUAAUUUUACACUACUAAGAGUCACUUUGUCUAUCAUGACCAUUUCAGCUUGCAAAAGUUGCUGGAAAUACAGUAGUAGCAACCUGUGGAGGGAGGGAGAAGGCCAUGCUUUUGAAGGAGUUGGGAGUCGAUCGUGUGAUAGAUUAUAAAGCUGAAGACAUCAAAACUGUAUGUCUCCUAAAAAUCUGUCUCAUCUGUUCAACUCUCCUUUUUGCACACAAUGUGGGGGUUGAGAAAUCAAAGACCCUGAUUCAUUCAAGUAGUGCAGCAAAUUAUUUCUAGAUAAGUUCACUGUCACACACGUAUCAGUAGAUACUUAUAUUGAUUAGGUAAAAGUAAAUGAGCAUAUUCAUCCACAUAUGCACAGAUACUAUCAUAUCUACUCGUGCAAAAUUAACGUGCACUUGAAACCCUGGAAAUUCUCUUUACCUUCAAUGUUCAUUUUAUUUUUGAAAUUUAGUGCUACUCCAUGAUCCUCCAUGCAAAUCCUUUUUGAUAUGGAUCUACUUGGCUGGAUUUAUAAUCAAUUCCUAUCACCUAUUCAAUGUCUAAAGAAUAACUUUAGCCUUUUGUCAAAAAGUCGUCUUUGCCCCUCCAUUGGGCUCUGGCGUCUGAAUGCCACUGACAUUAUCUGCAUUUUCAUGUUACAAUUUUCCUAUCCUUAAAAGAGGUGCAGAAGAUAAAAAGGUGAUGGUGUUAUAGAACCUUGUUUUUUCUCAUAUGGGAAUCUCUGAAGUGAACAACAGUGUGCCUUAGUAACUGGUUUACUCUUUGACAUUUUUGUAUUUUCAUACCAUGUCUCAAAUAGCUAGCUGCAGCCUUCCCUUGUUAAUGAACUUUAUGCAGUUUAAUUACUAUUUUCUAUAUUGUAACAAUUCUCGUAGGAUUAUGUUUGGAGUCUAGACCGGUUUCUGCUUUUUUCUCUCCUCUUGGGUCUAGUUUUUUUGUGAACUUUCAUUUAAAAUGAACUCAUUUAUCAAGAUUUACAAGAUAAUGCAUGAUACUCAAAUAAAAGAUUAUGUAAUGAGCUUUUUCUCUAUCUUUUCCAAAUUUACAGGUUUUGAAGAAGGAAUUUCCAAAAGGUGUCGACAUAGUUUACGAGUCUGUUGGUGGGGAAAUGUUUGAUCUUUGCUUGAAUGCUUUGGCCAUAUUUGGACGAUUGAUUGUAAUUGGCAUGAUUUCUCAGGUAUUGCCUCCUUAUGUUGUUGACAUCCAUCUGGGCCCGAUCUUUUAUCAUGAGUUUCCAGCAGUUCCAAUGUCAAACUUAGUUAUCUCAAUUAGGCUGUGCGGGAGCUUUUACAUUCUUGCUCUCACUUUCAGUGAGAUACCAAUGAAAGGAAAGUUAGGUUUCUGAAGUUUUUGUAUGAGUCUUGUGGUCGUAAUGCAUGGUAGAAGUUCUACUGCAAUCACAUUUCUGUGCUGCAGAGGGUCGCAAGACAGACAUGAAGAUGUUUUGCUUUGUAUAAUGGGGAAUAUUGGUUAGAGAUGCUAGGGAAAUAAAGAAGACUGUGCAAGGAGUCUUUGUAGCAAGUGCUACAUGUUUUCUAUCAACAUGCAUGUAUGGUUUUUCUCCAGUGUCUCCUGUAGUUGUGGUCUGCAUACUGUUCUAACAUUCUUCUUGCUUGAGUAUUAACUAUUGACAGUUGUACAUAAUUUUUAACCAGUACAAAAUUACUACUUUGAUUGUAGUAUCAGGGAGAGCAUGGAUGGACACCAAAUAAGUACCCUGGACUUUGUGAGAAACUUCUGUCUAAAAGCCAAACUGUGGUAUGUUUGAUAACACUUCUGCGUAGAGGACAGUGAUUGUACUCUACUGCAAUAAUUUUGCUCUUGGUGAUGCGCCAACUAUAUAUCAGGAAUAAGCAUGGACUGUGAAUUCUAUAGUUGUUUAUGCCUUUCUCUACUUGAAGUGUAUGAUAUGAUAUUGGCAAUGUUGGCAGGCUGGUUUUUUCCUGGUACAAUAUAGUCACUUCUGGCAAGAACAUCUAGAUAGACUGUUUCAACUCUAUUCCAGAGGACAACUCAAGGUACUGGUCUUCUUCUUUUUUUAACGUUUCUUUUACUGGUGAGACCUGACUCUUCCAUCAUAGAUCAUAUGCCGAACUUACAUUUCAUUAAUUGUGGAUAUCUGUGCCUUUUGCACAAUGCAAGGCCCUUACUUUCCUGUUAUCUUAUUCCUUCAGCCUUAUUUUGAUAUCCAAUUCCCUACCAAAAGUCACUGCCAAACUAAAUCUCUAGAAUGAGUUGGAUGAUUAUCUCUGCGCCUAAGUCGCUAUCCCGCCAAAUUUCAAAGUUCGCCAAGACUUAAUCUUCUAACUGAGUGCAGGUGGCCAUCGACCCAAAAAGAUUUGUGGGUCUCAAUGCUGUGGCAGAUGCUGUUGAGCAUCUUCAUUCUGGUAAAAGUAUUGGCAAGGUAUGUUCAUUUUCCAUGAAUUUUAUGGAUAUUUUGGGCACAUCAUUUGCAAAUUUCAUUACUUUGUUUUUCUUUUCCUGAUGCACAAUAAAUUUUGUGAAUAUGAACAAAAUCUUAUUCCAGGUGGUGGUUUGCAUGGAUCCAACUUUCACAGAUCAAGUAGCAAGACUGUGAAGUCUGAUCAAGGCUGUUUGAUUGUUUCGUUAAUAACUGUCAAAGUGAAUUACAAAGGGAUCUGUUUGAAAUAAUGACUCAGAGUGCAUAUCCUUCCAAGCGAUUAUUAGGGAACUGCAGUAAGAGACCUUCUCGAGAAAAUGAAUGUUAAUCUUCAGCAGAAAAAACCAAAAGGCUGCAAAGGAAUUUAAGUGAUAAAUAUGAAUUGCCCAUGGCUUUUUGCCAGGCGACAAAAGCUGGUAAGACCCCUUUAGAUAUUCUGACAACCCUUUUGUGGUCAUUCUCAUACACAGAACCGUCGCACAAAUGAUUACAAUGUAAGGAAACAUCAUUUUU